AGAAGAGUGUCUAGAAACUUUGAUCAAAGAAACUUCAAAGGAAACGUCGCAUCUAAUCUAAAGUGGACAGUGUGGACCAGAGAGUUUUGAUUUUAACUAAAACAAGGUUUCUCAAUGUUACUGAUGCAGAAAUGGAAAACGGACUAAAUGAAACAAGGAACAGAAAUAUGAGUUUAACACCAAGGCCAAAGCAUUUUCUUGUUGUUACAAAUCUUGGCAGAUCAAAGUCGUGACCAGCUUUUGCUGCACAUCAUGGCGUUCACAAGUUCGGCUUUCAUGGAGACAACAAAUUCAGGACACUCCCUUCUGUCAGCAACAUAAGCAUCAUACGAAGUGGCGCGUGAGAUUGGUAUGGAGAGAAUGUCACGAGCUACUUGGGAGAGAAUUGGAUACUUUUGGCUUUCUUCUUUCCACCAUUCCAGUGCUUUGAAGUCUUUGUUCCACUUCAUAACCGGCUCUUUGAGAUAGGAACCGAGUUCUGAUUCACCAAACUCUCUUGAAGAUCCUUCAAACUUGAGAAACUCUUGAAAUAAAGCAAAAUCCUCGUAUGCAUCAGGCUUCUUCUCUUCCUUGUCCUUAUGUUCUUCUUCACCUUCUUCUUCCUCACAUUCUUCAUCACUUUCCUCUUCUUCACUUUCUUUUUCUUCUUCUUCUUCUUCUGAGCUAUAGAAAAUUGAGUCAACUGUAGCAUCCAAGCAUUCUGUUUCUGGAGGGAUACUACUAGCUGCAUAGUGAGCAUAUAGAUUGCGUAAGUAGUCCAAAACAGUUUCAGCUUUUGCACCUUCAUCAUCAACUUCAUUCUUUGAGCAGUAAAACUCAAGAUACUUUAUCUUGAAUCGAGGGUCUAAAACAGAAGCAGAUGCCAAAACCAGGAACAUAUCAUUCAUGUAUUUAUCAAACCUCUCCAAUAUCUCAUUAGCUUUGCAGAGGAAGUGAUCAUUAUCAGCAUUCGCAAGCUCUUGGUUCAACAUAUACUUCAGCUCCGCAAGAAGGUGGAAGUAGACAUUAGAUGUCAAAUACUCUCCCUCAAAAAGUUCCUUUGCCACUUUAUAAAUGCAACCAGCAAGUUUGCAAAAAGUUCGAAUCAUUAUCCAGUCUUCAUCACAUGGUAGGUCAUAUUCCUGGUAAUACUCAUCCUCAGCAAAUACUUUCUUAUCCUCCAUAUCUAAAGCUUCUUGAAGAUUACACAAAGAGACGUUCCAGUUGGUUGAUGUCAUUUUCCCCCAACCAACCAACACCCUGAUCUCCUCUAGUAGCCCGUCCAUAUCGCCAAACACAUCACCAGCCAUUAACCGAAAAAGAUCAGCGCAGCAGUAGAUGCGGAAGAAACAAGUAUCAAUCGGAUUCUUCUCUCUCUUUUCUAUCAAUUUUCUUAAACAAUCAAACUCCUCAUGACCAAGAUCACCGUAAUUAGACACUAGAAGAGCAGAGACCUUGUUCUCAAUCUCAUAAUCCACAAGAACAUUCUUGAUUCUGCAAACAGAACUUUAUCACCGCGUACAUACUCGAUAGGAUAGUACCCCAAGAUCCAUUUCCCGACCUUGGACGUAUGAUCAACAAAAUGGACACUGAUACAAACGAAAUCCUUGUGCCAAACAAGUCCAUUGUUAUAUUCAUCAUCAUAAGUCAACAGAUCAUAAGAGAUGCUUAGUUUCCCUUCAAAACCUUUGAGAAAUUUCUUGACCUUGUCUUCACGUUCUUUGUGGAUCUUGAGAACUUCUUUCUCGAGUUGAGAAACACCAAAAGGCAAAAACGGGCCCAAAUGCUGCAUAAAGGAGUGAAGACUCAUACGAGCAAUAUGUAUGAGUAACUCUGCUAAACCUCUCAGACAUUUUUUCUCUUUCUCUGCCUGUGAAGGAAUCCGAGUAUCCACCACAAUCACCUCAGAAUCUUCCAGUUUUUGUUUCUUCUUCGCAUCUAGAAAAUGCAGAUGAUGCAAGAUUAUCAAGAUCUCAUUAUGAAUUCAGAAUUUCAGAUCAGAGGAAAUUUAUAACACAAAGGUAGUAAAAAAACUAAAAUCGGUAGAUCCAUAUACAGAUUCAGAAACUGUAAACGAAGAAGAAACCCUAGAAAUUAAGGGUCAAGAGUAAUGAAAUUUGACCUGAACCCGAGGAGCGAUCACCAUCUUCCAUAGAAGCGUUGCUGUGUUUGCGGAGAGAAAUGUUAGGGUUUCGGAUUUGGGGAAGAAGAGGGAGACGAUUUGCUUUUGCUACAUAGUAAUGAUUUUAGGCGGGAACAGUGCUGAAGCUAUUAAUGUACUACGUGGCGUUUUGUUAUUGACUUCUUUUUCUCUCAAUGGGUUUAGUUAUCGAGAUAGUGAAAUAGGACGUUUCGUUUCUACUGUUAACUGUUAAUAGUUAUUAUGGGCCAUCACUUGAUAAGGCCUUUUAAGGAAGCCUUAUAUAUGUCAAUUUUUUUUUUUGUUGGUUUAUAUAAUUUUGUUUUUGGAAUUUUAACAUCAUACUAUACAUAAAUACAUAGCAACCAAGAAUUUUAUAAAUAAAUAAAUCUAUUUAUAAAAUUUGUUAAAAAAACCGAUAGGCUAAAGAGUGGUCUGAAAUCACAAUGAUAGUAUUAUAGAUGAAAAUGAACUCACCUUUAUUUAAGUGUUGGAUGUGUAAUUGCUUUGAAAAACAAAUAAUAAUAAUAAUUUCAUAGAUAUUUUAAAGUGCAUCUAAACAUUAGAUUAUACAAAUAUAAAAUAUCAAAUAUAUAUUUUUCAAAUAAAAUACAACAUAGAUAUUAGGCAAAUUUUCAAUAUUUAGAACUAUCUUCAACUAUUAUGAUAAUAAAUAUUUGACUUCUAUAAAAACAUAAUAUAUAUAUUACUAAACCAUGCAACGCGUGGGUCAUUUUCUAAUAGAUUAAAUGUAGAUAUUUAGAUUUUUAGGUGGGUGUGGAUCAGUUUUUUUUUUGGGUUCAAGUAUUUCAGGCAGAAAAUUUAGGAUCCGUUCGAAUUUAUGAGUUUUCGGUUCAGUUUAGGUAGGUGUUAGGUCUAGUUCGGUUUCCGACAACAAAAAUGUUUCAGUUUUAAUAAAAUUUAGUGUAUUUUAGAUAUUCUGAUUCUUGGUUUAACUUUGGUUUAGUUUGAUUUCGAUUUGGGUUUAGGCAUGAAGAUUCCAAAACAAUAAAACCAGAGCAACUCUUUUAGUUUUAUCGAUAACCCUGCAUAUACAUCCUUACUUCUUGCAUUUGCUAGUACUCAUAACGUAGAACUCUAAUUCGAAAGAUACGACGUUUCUACUUGAUAAAUUUUUACUUGUUGCUAAUCGUCGUUCAAAAGUGUUUUGUAUUCUGCUUUCUUGUGCAAUUACAAACAACAAUACCAUGAUUUAUCUCAUUUUCACUAACCUUCUUAGCUUUCUACUUUUCUUUUCUGUAUAUACGAAAACAUAUUUAUGAAAAAGUUGACGAUGAUAGACAACUUACUAAGCACUUAAGCAGUCACAUACAAUGUAUUUGAGUAAGAUCACCAACAUCAAAUAUCAAAAGUAAAGGAGAAUUCAGCUACUAUGUUUAUUACUUAAACAGAAUCAUCUUUGUUUUAAUAAUUCACUAAUCUCGUUUAAAAAUAUACUAGGUAACUAAAUUGACUAAUCACCUUUUCUUUUGUAUCAUGUAUAUGAACCAAACUUGGAACCUAACUGACGAAAAGUGGCCAAUAAUCCGCUGGUCCGUGUGCAAUCUCUUGAUGAAGUUGUUUAGGUACAUGCGUAUAUCAUCAAUACAUACCAAUGAUUCGUCUCAUUCUUAUUGGUCACCCAUAAUUCCUUUUUUUUUUUAUUGAACAAAAGAAAGUCUAUGUAAUUCAUGAAACAACAUGAACAUAUAUUGAUAGUACAGAUAUAUAGAUAUUUGUGUUAGAGAUCCAAUUACAAUGUCACAACUUUAGGGCGUUGAGAGACUUCAAUAAAGCGAUUUGAAACAUAGGGAGCUUUACAAGUUGCAAUGAAAUCAUAUUUUCACCAACCUUCUUAUACUCUUUUUACUGUUUUGUUUUCGGUAUUCAUAUGCUUACACAUGCUGUCUUUAUGAAAAAGUUACCGAGGAUUGAUAUCUCACAUUCUCACUAAGCAGCCGCCAUCAACUGAUCAACAACGUAUUUGAGAAAGAUCACCAAAAUGUAAUUUCAAAGGUAAAGAAUGAUACAUAAGAAUAAAAUAAUGGAAAAAAGCAAAGAAAAAAUUAAGCUACUCUGUUUAUCAACUAAACAGAAUCAACCAUAUUUUAGGAAUCACUAGAAAAAAAUACUAGGUCAUUGAAUUGAUUAAUAACCUGUUUUCCUCUGCAUGCAGGAUUACUUAAAUUACCUCACUGAAUUUGAACCAAACUUGGAACAUAGCUGACGAGAAAUGGACAACAACCUUUGGGUUUCCGUGCAAUCUUUUGAUGAACUUGUAUACCCUCUUUAGCAAAGUAAAUUCUAAUCUUCUUUUCAAUGUGACUAAUCUCUGAAGAACACACGACCAUUUAAUUCUCCUCGUCCACCAAGAAACUCAUGUAACUCAACGUCUCACUUGUUAACGGAAAUCUACCAAAAUCCACUACUAAGAAGUUGCUCCAAGACAAGUCUUUGUCCUCAUCGAUCUUAGUUUUGGUCACCCAUAUAUUCAUCUUUAAUGAAUCUGUAUCAAGCCUCUGUUGUAUCAAGGCAAGUUUCUCUUCUCUAACAACUGAUAGAAACACACUUCGAUAAUUAUUCUGAAAAGGAAGCGAUAGACGUCCGAAUCUCUCUGUUGUGAAAUCAAACUUGAGUAUGGAUUUGCUUUCUAGAUUUGAACCAAACCAAUAAGCAUUUCCCUUCAAAGUCACGCCAUCGGAACGUCUGAAACAAUCAGGAGAGAUCUCAUCAAGAAUUCUCCAUGAAUCAGAGUUGAACUCAUAGAUCUCAAACUUAGCAAGAGAAUAAGCUAGGGAGGUGAGAAGAUAGUCAUAAGCCAAGAUUUUGUAACUACGGCAAGAUUUGUUAAUGUUGCUGUUGUUUACAUAUCCUAGAACAUAACUGUUCAUGAGCAUAUUGGAUUGGAUCCACCUGGUUUGACCAGUACAAGGGUUCCAAACCACGACUCUACUAUUAUUGUCCUUGGUAGUGCACAAUAAUAAACCAUCACAGUGAGAGAUAAUACAACGUAUCUUAUCAUGUUCUGGAUCCUUUAGCUCGUAAAGUUUAACAUCGACCCCAAUGGAUGAAUCAAAGCUGUUUUGGAUUCCACGGAGAUUGAUGCUAUGGAUCAGAGUAUUCAUCUCUGUCACUGGAUAACCCCGAAGAUCAUUAAAGAUCACAUGUGUUGCUGCUUUGCUUUACCCAAGUUCUUCUUGACGAAUCUUGGAUCUCUAAAUAAAGUGUACCAUCGUUUGCAAGUAGUUUGCAAUUCUUUUAGAGAUGUGGCAGGAACCCUAGAGAGUAUUUCAGAUUCUAAAUCACUUGGAAGAUCAGCAAACAUCAUUGUUUGUUUAUCUCUUGUGAUUCUUGUCUGACCUCCCAAGGAAGAAAGCGACGGGAUUGCAAACCGAAAUUAGAAUUUUCACAUUUUAACAACUGGUAUAAAUAGAGAGGCUAUAUAAUAGUGCAUGCGCAAAUACGGCAUAGACAAAAGCUCCUCAAAAAGGAAAAGACAAAGAAAAAAAAUUAAGAUGGUGUAUCCAAAAGUGAUUUUAUAAUAACAAAUUUUCUGUUACUCAAUCAUGGAUUUUUUUUAAAAAAAAUCCAGUGUCAUUGAUUGAACUAUUGAUUUGUAUUUUAAAAUCCACUGUUAUUGAAAACAUUGUAUUAGAUUGUAAAUGACUAUAAGAGAAGAGAAACUAUAUCUUUAUUAUGACUUUAAUUAAGGUUAGAUUUGUUAUGAUCAAUAUAUUAUAUAGAAGAAGAGAAACUAUUUAUAUAUAUGUUUUCCUAUUAGACAAAUGAGACAAAUUUAUCUUAUCAUGAUUAUUGAAUCAAGGAUUUUAGUUAGUUUUAGAUUAAAGUGAAAAUAAGCAAAUAAGAAACUUAAAGUAAGGGAGUUAUUAAAAUUAUCUAAAUCCAUUAAUUGUUAUUGGGAACAAAAUUAAGUAUUGGAUUUUUAGUGAGUUGUGGUUAGACAAUUUUCCUAGUUAAAAAUACAAAUACCUAAAUUACAUGGUUUUAAGUGAAAUUUAGGUGGAAUUUACAACAAACUAGAUUUUAACCCGCGGUACACCGCGGAGCUAUAUUUUCUUAAAAAAAUCAAAAUGUAAUUUGUUUGAUAGAUUAUUUUGAUUGUUAAUUUUAGGAUUUCACCCGUGGUAUACGAUCUUUUAUAAAUAUCAACCCAAACCCAUCCCAUCAUAUUACCCGUCCCGUGAAAUUAAACAUUAUUUAGUUAUUUUUCUUUUUAAUAAUACUUUUAUUUAAAAGCUAUAUAAUUCAAGUCAAUUUAAAAAUUUCUUUUAAAUGGUUCCCAUAAAAUAUAUAUACAUAUAUAUUAAAUUUGUAUAGAGUUGAAAUAAUAUUAAUAUUACAAAUUUUUUAUAUAAUUUAAAUAUUAUAAAUAUUUUUAAAAAUAUGUAAUAUAUAUUUUUUGUUAUUGAAUAAGAGGAUAUUAUGUGUAAGAAAUGUAGAAAAUAAGAGUUUAAUAUUUUUAUUAUGGAGUCGCAAAAAAAAUCUUUUAUUUCUAUACAUGUUAUUCAUUUAUUAAUAAUAAAAGAAAACAAAUCCUUUAAAUUAGAUAUUAACUAAAAUAAACGCACCAUAAUUACUUAUUAAGUAACAACCAAUAAAUUUCACCAAAAAAUAGGUAACAACCAAUAAAUUCUAAACGCAGUAAUUAAAGAAUGAGAUAUUAAAAAAAAAUAUCAAAUAAGAUAUAAGAAUCUUAAAAUAAUUGAACAUCUAAAUAAUUUAAUUGUUAGUGUCGAUUUUAAUGCCUUCAUUAAUGUGGAUUUUUUUUUUACAGAGAAAUAUUUCCUAAAGAUUAUCACAUUAAUGACUCAGAAAAUUAAAGAAGAUAUGAAUUUAUGAUUCUCGAAAUCGUAUUGGUAAUAUCUUUAAGUAAUAUUUUUCAAAUUUAAAUAAUUAAUGCCAAUGGUAUUCAUCCGUAAAUAAGGUUCAACUCCAGGAUUUAUUUGCUAAAAGUCAUUCAAAAAUGUAUAUAUAGAUUAUAACAAUUUCUUGAUUACUCAGGUUCCUCUCAGAAAUUUCUUAACAACGUCUCACGCCAUCGGAAUGUAUGAAACAAAUAAUCAAGUUCUUCUUGACAAAUCUUGGAUCUCUAAAUAAAGUGUACCAUUGUUUGCCAGUAGUUUGCAAUUCUUUUAGAGAUGUGGCAGGAACCCUAGAGAGUAUUUAAGAUUCUACUUCACUUGGAAGAUCAGCAAACAUCAUUGUUUAUUUAUCUCUUGUGAUUUCUCGUCUGACCUCCUUAUGAAGAAAGAGACAGGACUGCAAAUAGAAAUUAGGGUUUAACAAUUGGUAUAAAUAGAGAAGAGAGGGUAUAAUAGUCAAUUAGCAUAAGACUGCACUAAUAAUAGUUGCACUUGCAUUUAGAGAAAAGCCUCUCGAAGGAAACGUGAGACAGUGUAAGGAGGAUGGUCUCCAAAAUUUCUCUAUUAUCAUAGUAAGAUUAUGAAUUUCUGUUAAAACUUCAAAGUCUACUUUCUCAUGUCCAGGUUUCUUGCUAAUCAAGUUUAGGGGUUUUUUUCGCGUUUGGUUUCUCAAAUUUCAUUUGAUUUUUUAUUUGCGUUUGUUGAAUUCUCUUUCAAUUUCUCUUCGUUACGGAGUUUGCAAUGCAUGAUUUCACUGGGAUUGACCAAUGUUCCGAAAUUACUCGAGGAAGUGCACUGUGGAUUCUUCACAGUCAAGGAAUAUUUCUGCUACAAGAAACAGAUUUCAAACUUCUCAGAUAAGAUUUUUGGAAUUCUGUAGAAACUUCAUUCAAGCAUUGUGAUCUCUGUCAUUCUGUAAGAAACCUUAAAAGCAAAUUCCACAUGCGGUGAAUGUGGGUGUUUUCACUAUAUUCCUUUUGCGUUAAUCUGAUAUCUAUUAGGGAAUUUAUCCGAUCCUCAAAGUCAAAUGAACUACAAAAUAAUUGUGUUUGCUUUACCCUCAUAACCAAAGUAAGCCUUGUAAAUCUCUAACAUAUGUUGAAGUGAUUCAAUCUUCCUUUACUCCACCACAUAAUUUGGAUAUGCGUUGGAUUUGAGUUUCGCGUCAGAUUGCGUUAAGGCUUCUUGCCAAGUUUGCCUCCCGUCCGUGCCUGUAAAACAUAGCACACAUAAAGAGAUACAGUUAAAGAGAAUUCUAACCCGAGACCAUAUACCGUAACGAUAUAUACAUAUAAAAAGCUCUCUGGUUUGCAUGACAAGAACACUAUCCUUAUGUGCUAUGUAAGCAUUAUAUUGUAAGACUAAAUAACAGGGUAUGAAUCAACAUCCACAAUCCUUUAGUUUAGUUUCUCUAUAUGGGAAAUGCUCUGUUAUUCUCAAUCAACAUCCACAAUCCAAAUAGAAAUUAUUUGAGUAAGGUCAUUAGAUCACCAAUCCAAAUUCAAAAGCAAAGAAUUAAGAGGAACAAAGUUUGACUAAUCUCGUUCAAAGAAACAUGACCACAAGGAAAAAACUAAGGUGAUUCAUUUGAGUUACCUCCUUUUCUCUCAUUUUCUUUUUGCCUUUGGGUGAGGUUUUCUGAAUGUGAACCAAAUUUGGAGCAUAACUGACGAAACAUGGCCAGUUGAGAAUUGAUCCCUUUGUAACCUCUUUAUAGACUUCUUUAUAAAGAUCCACUCCAACAAUGUAGAUUUUGGUCCUUUCUUCAUCUUCCAUGUCUGUAUAACAACACACUGCCACUUUACUCUCCUCGUCCAAGAAGAAACUUAUCACGCUGUUCACAUAUGGUAACGUAAAUUUAUCAAAAUCCACUACUAGGAACUGGCUCCAUGACAAGUCUUUGGCCUCAUCAAACUUAUUGGUCACCCAUAUCUUCAUCUCUGAUGAAUUUCUAUGAAGAUUCUGAUUCAACAAGGAGAGUUUUUCUUCCCUAACAAGUGAUAGAACCGCGAUAUCUUCAUAAUCGAAACUCUGAUACGGAAGAGGAAAACGCCCAAAUCUCUCUGUUGUGAAAUCGAAAUACAUCAAGAAAAAACCAGUUUCUUUGUCUCCACCAAUCCAAAAAGUAUCUCCAUUCAAAGAAACGCCAGCAGAAAAUAUGCCCCAAAUCAUAUCAUCAUCAAGAACCCUCCAAGAAUCAGAUCCAAAAUCAUAGAUUUCAAACACAGCAACCCGGAGUUUCUGAUCGUUGUAAUAACGGCAAAGCCUCAAGAUUUUGUAGCUAUGGCAAGAAAAUUUGCUGUUUACGUAUCCAAGAGCAUAGCUAUCAUCACGCCUGUAACACGUUCUAGGUUUGAUACACCUUGUUUGACCCGUACAUGGGUUCCAAACAACAAGUCUAUUGUUCCCAUUUGUGGUGCUGCUGAUGCAUAAUACCAAACCCUCGCACUGAAAGAUUGUAGAUACUUUGACAUCUUUCGAAUCGCUUAGCCUGAUGAGUUUACCUGAGAACUCCAUAGAUGCAUCAACUCCGUCGUGAAUUCCAUGGCGAUUGACGCUAAUUGAGUGAACCCUAUGAUUCAUCAGUAACAUCACUUCCCUCGCUGAUUUACCCAAGUUCUGCUUCACGAAUCUCGGAUCUCUGAACAAAGCGUGCCAUCUUUUACAAGUAGUUUUCAGUUUCGUUAGAGACUUCGCCGGAACCCUGCAGAGUAUUUCCGAUUCCAAAUCGUCUGGAAGAUUGGGAAUCUUCAUCAUCGUCCUUUUUCGUCAUUUCUCAUCUCAGCUCUCGACGGUUAUGAAGAUAUAUAUUGGGCUUUUAUUAUUAUAAGCCCAGUUUCGUUUUUCUUGGUUUGUAAGUUACGACGAAACGACAACGUUUCAUUCUCUGGGCCAAAUUAAUUUGGUAUUUUAGUGGCUGCUAAUUUCCACAUUUGAAUUUGUAAUAGUAAUUAUUAUAUGAAGACUUAUGUUCAGGCUAUUAUAUUCGUGUAUAUUCUGAUCAGUCCAAAAACAAUAAACUACUGACAAGUAAUCUCAAAACCAAUAGUAAUGAAAUUAACUAAUCAAGAUCCAUCGACUAAAUUUGAUUUUGAUUUGAUUUAGAGUCCCCAAAACUAAUAAUAUCAAGUCAUCUAAUUGAUACUCAUAAAAUAGUCUAUUGAUAUAAAAUGAUAGAGAAGAGAAGUCACACCGCAAGAUUUGAAUCUGUUUUUGAUUUAAGUUUUACUUCGUUUUCUUCAUGAGCACACACUGUCAGGUUGAUCUGUUCAAACUCUUCUUACAACUUUUGUCAACUGCCAGGUUCGCCGUGCCUGUAUAACAUCACACACACACACGGGUCCAGUUAAAGAUAACUCUAACCAGAAACCAAAUACAAUAAAGAUAUAUAUGUGUAAAUUGUAAUCUAUAGCUCUAUAUGUGUAAAUUGUAAUCUAUAGCUCUCAGGUUUGCAUGACAAGAACACUAUCGUUAUGGGCUGAUUGCUAUGGUAAGCAUUAUAUUGUAAGACUAAGGAACAUGGUAUGAAUUAUGGAGGCUUAUAUGCUUUAGUUUAGUUUCUCUCUAUAUAUGGGCAAUGCUCUGCUAUUCUCAAUAAUCAUCCAAUCUCAACAGAAAUUAUUUGAGUAAGUUCAUUAGAUCACCAUCAUUCCAAUUUCAAAAGCAAACAAGAGAAACAAAGAUAAGUUCUAUCAGCUAAAUAGAAACAACCCCUACAAUGAUUGACUAAUCUCGUUGAAAGGAACAUGACCAAAAGGAAAAGCAAGAAAAAAAAUAAGGUAAUUCAUUUGACUAACCUCUUGCCGUUUCCUUUUCUUUUGCACUUCGACUAUGGGUGCAUCUUUCUCAAUGUGAACCAGAUUUGGAAUAUAAUUGACGAGAAAUGGCUGAUUGGGCCAUGUUUCUGUUGAAACGUCUUCAUAGACGAAUUUAUCUACAUCUUCUCCAACAAUGUAGAUUCUGCUCCUAUCUUCAUCUUCCGUGUCUGGAUCAGAACACACUGCAUCAGAACACACAGCCACUCUUUUCUCCUCGUCCAACAGGAAACUUGUUACACUCGGUAGAUUAUCGUCAGCAAGAUCCACAACUAAAAAGUUGCUCCACGACAAGUCUUUGGCCUCACCGAUCUUAGUAUCGGUCACCCAUAUCUUCAUCUUAGAAUAUUUCAAACUAUGAACCCUAUGGUCGAACUGCUGUAACAAAGCAAGUUUCUCUUCUCCAACAACAGCCACAAGCACACUCUUAUUAUCAUGAUCCCUCUGAAAGGUAAGGGGCAGACAUAGACGUGCAAAUGUCUCCGUUGCGAAAUCAAACCUGAGUAUGAAUUUACCCGUGGGGGUUUCUUUUUCAUCUGAAGCAUACCAGUAAGCACUUUCCUUCAAAGUCACACCAUUACAUUCUAUGAAGCAAUUUGCAGUGACGCCAUCAAGACCCCUCCAUGAACUAGAACUAAAAUCAUAGAUUUCAGACUCAGGCAUUUCGUGAUUGUCAUCGCAACACCUCAAGAUUUUGUAGCUAUCUAAAGAAGAUGAUUUGUUGUUACCACAUCCUAGAGCAUAUAUAUCAUCACUAUUGUAACAAAUUCUAGGUUUGAUCCAUGUGAUUUGACCAGUACAGGGAUUCCAAACUACGAGUCUACAGUCCAUUGUGGCGCAUAAUAAUAAACCGUCCAAGUGAUGGAUUCGAAAUAUUUCCAAAUCUGAAUCUUCGGGUAUGGUGAGUGUACCUGUAAACCCCAUGGAUGCCCAACGGCCUUUUGGAAUUCCAUGGAUUUCUACGCUAAUCGAAUAAACCUCAUGAUUCAUCAGAAACACCAUCUCACUUGCUGCUUUACCCAACUUCUUCUCGACGAAAUCCGGAUCUUAGAAUAAACCGUACCAUCGCUUGCAAGUGGUUUUCAGUUUCGGUAGAGACUUGAUCGGAAGCCUAGAGAGUAUUUCCGAUAACAAAUCGUAUGGAAGAUCGGAAAUCAUCGUCAUCAUCUCGUGGUUUCUGACUUCACUCUCUCGACGAAGAAAGACGGCAAAUGGGAAAUUAGGAAGAUACCUAUAUUGUUUCUUAUUGGGCUUUUAUUACUUUUAGCCCAAUAUCGUUUUUCUAGGUUCAUAGGUUAAGAAACGACCGCGUUUUAUUAUGAGUUUUUUUUCUCCAGUGAGCUUUUUGCAAAAUAUGUGUAGCUCAAGGUCAAGAAUUCAGAUUGGUAUUUGAAUACCUGCUUAUUUAAUUUCUAUACAAAAUUUUGAACCCUGUAACAGUCAUUAUUCUGAAAACUUAUGCUCAUGUUAUUACAUUAGUAUGUAUAUUAUUAAACGGAUAAACGUUAAUACUGUAUUUUCUGUUUUUGAUCUUUACCAAAAACAAUAGUAAUAUUUUAGAUGAAUUGUUGACAAAUAAUAUCAAAAACCAAUAAAUGAUCAUGACUGAUCGACUAACAUGUGAUUUUUGAUUAGAGCUCAGAGGUCAUCAAUCCAAUAAGACAAAAAUACCAAAAACAACGAUAACAAGUUUGAUCUAAUCAAAUCUUUCAAAAUAGUCUUCGAGACAAAGGACAGAGAAGUCACUGCGAGGAGCCAUUCCACAAAAUUAAAGUACCUGAAAGGAUAAAGAAUAACAUCAAGGAAACACAACAUGAAAUUCAGGUUCGAACCUUUACUUUGGUGACCAGAAACAAGGUUUGGUCAAGAAACUUCACACAUCAAUACUAGUUACUGAUAAACAGAGUUAUUGAGUUUUCAUGAAGGCCCUAGCAUUUAAUGUUCUUACCAAAAUGGCCAUAUCAAAGUCGUGGCCAGCUCUCGCAGCACAUCAUGGCGUUCACAAGUUUGGCCUCCAUGGAGACGAUAAAAUCAGGACACUCUCUCUUGUCAGCAACAUAAGCACGGUGCGAUGUUCCACGAGAGAUCGGAAUGGAGAGAAUGUCACGAGCUACUCUGGAGAGGAUCGGGUACUUUGAGUUCUCUUCUCUCCACCAUUCCAAUGCAUUGAAGUCCUUUUUCCACUCCAUAACUGGUUCCUUGAGAUAUGAAUCAAGUUCUGAUUCUUGAAACUCCCUUGAAGAUCCUUCAAACUUGAGAAAUUCUUGAAACAAAACAAAAUCCUUGUAUCCAUCAGGUUUCUUCUCCUCCUCUUCUUCUUCAUCUUCUUCGUCGAACAAAUAUUUAAACAAACCACUGGAAUUUGGGUUCAUCGAAGCAUCGGGACAUUUUGGUAGUGGACUGAUAUCACUAGCUGCAUAGCGAGCAUAUAGACCGCGUAAAUAGUCCACAACAGUUUCAGCUUUUAAACCUUCAUUGCUAACUUCAUUCUUUGAACAGUAAAACUCAAGAUACUUCAUCUUGAACCGAGGGUCUAAAACAGAAGCAGUUGCCAAAACCAGGAACAUAUCAUUCCAGUACUUAUCAAACCUCUCCAAUAUCUCCUUGGCUUUGCAGAGGAAGUAAUCAUUAUCACCGUUCUUGAGCUCUUCGUUUAGCAUGACUUUUAGCUCUGCAAGAAGGUGGAAGUAGACAUUAGAUGUUGGAUACUCUCCGUCAAAAAGCUCCUUUGCAACUUUAUAAAUGCAACCCGCGAGUUUGCAAAAAGUUUUAAUCUUGAUCCAUUCUUCAUCAGAUGGUUGUUCAUAAUCCUGGUAAUCUUCUUCCUCUUCAAAUACAUUCUUGGCUUCCAUAUCAACAGCUUUUUGCAGAUUAUACAACGUGACAUCCCAAUUGGUCGGUACCAUUCUUCCCCAACCAACCAACAUCCGAACACGUUCCAUCAGCCAUAUGUUUAUGUCCUUAAACAUAUCAUCAACCAUUAACCGGAAAAUGUCAGAGCAGCAAUAGAUGAGGAACACACGAGAGUCGAUCGGAUUUUUCCCUUUCUCUUCUAUCCAUUUUCUAAAAGCAUCAAACGCUUCAACACCAAGAUCACCAUAGUUAGGCAUUAGAAGAGUCGAGACCUUGCUCUCAAUCUCAUAAUCCAGAAUAACAUUCUUAAUAGAAUCAACAUAAAUGUCCUUCACACGCAAUGACUCACGAGGAUGAUACCCCAAGAUCCAUUUCUUCAUCUUCCAGUUUUCAUCAGCGAAAUAAGCGCUAAUACCGAUGAAAUCCGCGUUCAAAAUAGGUCCAUCAAUGUCAUCACUUGUCCAAAACCAUUCAUAACAGAGUGUUAAUUUCCCUUGUCCAUCCUUGAGCAUUUUCUUGACCUUGUCUUUACCUUCUUCGUGCAUCUCCAGAACAGCGGUCUUGAGUUUAGAAGUAUCGAGAGAAAAAUCCGGGCACACGGUAUGCACCAUUUCAGUAAUGACCGAGUUCUCGACAGAAGGAUUAAUCCCAUAACCAAUAGCAACCUUAGCCAUAGAUCUAUAACGACGUUUCUCCUCCUCCAGAGCCCCAUCAUCUACAGAAUCAUCCAGCUUUUGUUUCCUCUUCAUAUCUAAAAAAUCACCAAUGAUGCAAUAGUGUUAAGACAUAGAGACUGUAAAUUCAAUCCAUAUAACCGAAAAAGAUACAGAGAGGUAGAUUCACAGACACAACAUUGUAAAGUUAACUAACGAAAGGGACAGAGAUCAGAGUAAACCCUAGAAAUUGGGAUAAAAUCCAUAGAAAGAAUCAGACUUUAGCUCUCUGGAGAAGAAAUAAGAACCUGAGCUGGAGCCGGAGGCGAGAUCAGCAUCGUCCAUAGCAACCUUGUUUGGGGGAGACGAACGGUACGGAGAGAGAAUUAGGGUUUUUCGAAAUAAAGGAAGGAGAGACGAUUCCAGUUCUCAAUGUUGCAUCUAUAUCUAGGCUAGGAUCUUAAUUAUGAUUUUGGCGGGAAAUUGCUACUAGAGUCUGAAGCUAUUAUCCACGUAGGAUAUUAUUUAUUUCUCUCUGGGACGAUAAAAUCUACGGUUGGUAACGCAAACAAUGGACGGAUGAGAUUGCUAAGAAUAUUUAACUUGAAAAAUAUAAAUGGGCCACUACUUAUUGGGCUGUUUGUAAAAAUAAACUCUAAAACGACGCCGUUUAUUUAGUAUGCUUUACCUCAGAAUCUGAAAAUCGGAAGCUGGGCAGCUGGUCACCGUUGCUUCUCUCCGUCUCUCUCAGGUAAGUGGAUCUAUUUGUUGUUCUCUCCCUCUCGGUCUCUGUUUGGUUUGAAAUGUUUGAAAAUUGAUUUCAUAUAUUUCUUCUCUUUAAUUCAAUCUCUCUGCCUUCUCGAUCAACUCUAUUUGAGGUGUGGACUAGAAAGACUAAGCUUUGCUCUUCUCCAGUGACUGCAGCUUUAGGGUUUAGGGUUUUUGGUUUCUGUGUAUUUCAUCGUCUCUUCUGAUUGAUCUUGUGUUCUACGUUAUAGGAAAAGAAACUAUAAUUGAAGAAGCUCGAGAUCUCCUGUGAAAAUGCCGUCUUUGCAAACUUCUCUGCCUCCUGAACUCGCUAACAAUGUGGUUAGGGUCAGUAUCAAUGUUCACAUUAAACUUAUGAUUUGUUUUUUCGUUCCUUGAUGCUAUUUCACUGAUCUAUUUGUCUAUUGGCAGUUGUACCGAGAAUGUCUUCGUAGAGCUAAAUUUAUUGGUAAGCAGGUGAGGUUUAUAACUAAAUUGUUUCUCUGAGCUUUGGAUAUGAACCUGCUUUGUCAGACUCAGAAUCUCUGUUGCUUUCGAUGGGAUUGUGUUUGGUUUGAUUGCCAUUCUUGGUUGUUGUAUAAUGUUCGGAUAAAGAUUUAUCACUGUUCUUUAUCUUCACAUGUUUUUACUUUUAGUAACCUAGUAAUUCAGAGAAAAACGUAGAGAGAUUUUCAUUUAGAGUCAGGAUGCUUUGUCUUUGUGUCUUCACCCAGAGCUCGUGUCUAUCUAUACCUUUUUGAGUCGAUUCUCUUGACCCACUUGAGGUAGUUAUACCCGAAUGCAGUUUGAUUGAAGCUGAAAUAUGUAUUGAUGUGAUGCAAGCAGAAAAGGUUGAGAUUGAUAUUAUCAUCAUUUGUGUUUUGAUUCAUCGAGAAAGAGAUUUAUGCCUUUCUGUUAGGAUUAUAGAUAUCCUGGAGUGGAGGAGAUUUAGGAAGUGAACUUUGAUAUGUUUACACGUUUGUGUCUUGCAGCAACACAACACUGAGCUAGUGGUUGGUAUGGUGAGGCAACAAUUUAAGAAACACAUGAAUGAGACAGACCCUGAGAAGAUUCAGAAGCUUAAAGAUGAGUGAGUUUUCUUUUUUUUCUCCCCAAGCUCUUAGAUCAGAUGUAAAACUUGUUCGUUGAGGCAUUUUACUGCAAAAGAUGAUGUUUCACACAAGCACACAUACAGCUGCUUGAGAUCAUGUAUUUGAAAAGUUUGGAAUGACUCAACAUUCUCUGAUACUGGUAUUUGGCAGUGCUGCUCGGGGACUCAUCAAUCACAUGUUGUUUGAGUCAGCAAAGCUGACAGGAGGCAAGGUUAGCCAGAGAUCCUGAUGCAGUCUGGUUGCAGACUCUCCCAUUGUUAUUCUCUCUCUAUCUCUCUAGUUCAAUGCUUGUAGGCUAAUAAUGCAACUAAGUUGGCUUUAAUAAAAGACUUGAUCGAGUAGCUUCAGUGACUCGGCAUUGAUGAUUUUCUUGUGCAAUCAGUGAAGGGGUUCUCUACUUCAAAUCAUACAGUUAUUUGGCUCUUGCUUAGAUUCGUUAACAAUUGAUUUUGACGAAGAUGAGUAUGAAUUAAGCAACCAACAACAUUGAGCUAAAAAAGAAAGAAUUCAGAAAAAGUGCUAAUAUUAUACAUAAACGUGAACAAGAUACAACAACAUUGACCACAUGAUUCACUGCUUAUCUCUCCGAGAAGUAGCAUAGCAAAAAAGUAAAAAGAAGAUAUCCCACGUUUCUAUGCGGAUUAUGUUACACAGACUGAUGCAUUAAAGCAUCAAUUGCAAAAAAAAAACAGUUCCUGUUGAAAGUCUCCACGAUUGACUGAAUUACCUUCAGCAAAGACUCCUGAGAUUAGACAAGUCUCUAGGUUCUUGAGGACGUAAAGGAGGCUCUUGGUCAACUUAACUCCAUCAUAUCUCUGACACGUUUCGUGACACGAGCAAACUCGUUAAACAACGUAUAAUCAAAUUCACAGGCUUCGCUAUUUGAGAUUUCUUUAGAGAGAUCAAGUGGUGUUGAUGGGUUCUGACAAAUGACAAAGUCAAAUCCCCCAAAUCUCUGCACCAAAGUUUCCAGCUUCUUUGUCGUUAAGCUUUUGAUUUCUUCAAUUUGCACUAGCUCACCGGUUUGUCCAGAAGUCUGCCACCAUCUUUUCAGUAUGUUACGGCUCAAUCCACAGGACUCUACAGAGACUACGCCUUUUAGAUGGAUUCCAAGGCGGUCCAAUGCAAUUUCCGCACCACCAAUCCCGCUAAAGAGUGAUAAAACUGUUAAACCUUCGGGAAACAUAGACUUGAGUACAGAGAAAUGGUAACCCAAUGUGUCUGUUUGGAAGCAGUAAUCAAACAACUUCAAUCUUUCAGCCAAUCUUCCACCACCGAUGUUUGUGUGGUUCGUUGGAUAUCCCAUAAUGCACUCUAAAUGUUCAGGCUCCACAGGUGAGAGGAUGUUUGGAGCAAUCCAAAUGAGAUUGGAUGUGUGACAAUGUCGAAGUAUUAGAGUCUGGUCUUGUUGAGUAGGCUUUCCCCUGCAUUCAGCUAUACGGCGUCCAAUUCGUUCACAGAGAAGAGUCACAUCUUUCCUAUUAGAACACGUGCCGCUAUUGAAAUGUUUUCUGAUAUCCCAUUGCGGCCACCAACUCUUCAUUUGUGGCAUUGCGUCUUGUAUAGUUAACCGAGGCUUUGGGAGGAUAUUGAACCUGUUAACAGUGGGAAGAUUGUGCAGGUACCCUUCUGUCCUAUGGAGCGCUGAACACAACCGAGUAUCUACAUGCUCGGGGUGAAUUCCGAACAAGAAACCCGAGAUCUUCGACCACCAGCUAGGAGAUAGUUCACCUAACUGUCCAUAGAAGAAAUAAGGUCGUUUGGCUACAUUUGGGCCAAGACUCUGGGACAAACGUGGCUGCAUUACACUGGGAAAUUCAUAUGUGUUAUCUUUCCACUCAUCUUGCAUCCAUGGGGUUUCCAUAAACGAACUUGAGUCACCCAUAUAUUCGGGUCUUAACCGUUUUCCUCUGUCAUCGUGGUCAGUGUAUUCCUCUGGAUAGGCAUUCUCAUCCUCAUCUUUUGGUCGCUUACCCUUCGAGGUCUCUCCCACAUUGGCAGUGGCAGGGAAAGGAAAAGAGUCAAUACCAGGAUCUGGUUUUAUAUUAGCAGUGCCACUCGACGAACCCCCACAACCAUCCUCUUUCUGGGCACCAACACCAACAAAUCUCCAACUCUUUGAAAGACAUGCACGAUUCGCUGCAGGAGCCGCCGCUGAAACUUUCUACAGUGACACCAAAUAUUAUUGAGUAAAACUCCAACAAUUUCUUAUUUUAAUUAAGAGAAGAGUGUGAGAUGGUUUCGGAGCAGUAGCAGCAGCAAAAUCUCUAGUUUCAGCACUUCACUUCACAAGUGCAUCAUUUGAGGUCAAGAAAAAAUUAAUUAAAAACAUUAGAGUGAACAUACCUUUUCUAUAUCUUCAAGGUCAUCAUGGCAUACAGCAGGAAAUUCACCAGUAACAAUUGACUCAGCAAGGACAGAAAUCUGACCUUCUGUACCUGAAGAGGUGCACAAUAGAUUAUAUACGUUUGCAAAAUAAAUGAUAGGAUUUCUUUCACCCUAAAAGUAUCAUAAUCAGCCCCAACAACAUAAACAAGAUACGUUUCAUGUCUAUAUUGUUUCUUUCAGACAUAUAACAGUCUGGGAUGAACAGAUAAGUGCCUCAGUUGCUCACCUAUCUUCUCAAUUGCCAUUGAAAUUUCAUCAUUGGAGAAUCCCAUUUCCAGUAAAUGCAAAGUCUUGUCCAUUGUUUCAAACAACUGUUCGUUGGGAACCUGAAUUUAAAGCACAAAACAAAUAUUAGAGGUAAUAAGGUAAUAACAACAUGAACAAUAAAGAAUGAACACAAAAGAAAGGUAGUGGAAUCUACUAAGGUGAACCAACAAAAGGACAUAAAAGAAGAAAAAAGCAUUGACAAUAAUAUCAACAGCUAAUGUCAAAAGCACCAAAGACCUCAGGUCCCCGAGCAGUAACUGGAGUGACAUCUUCAUCUUCUUCAUUGAUCUCAGCACCAUCAAGUGAGUCUUCAGAUUCUUCUGCAUACUUUUCAGCUAAUUGAGCAGCAACAAUGAAGUCCACCAUCUCAUCAAUUGGCGCGUCUUUACCUAGCACGCAGAACAAACAAUCAUGAAGAAAGGCUUUGGCGAUAGGCAAAAUGACAGCUGCUAUCUGCAUGCUAAGUUUCUAUAUAGCUUUGAAUAGUAUAAGUAUCAAUCUUUUAGAAACUAUAUACAAUUUUUUAAUACAGUCACAGGGGAUGGAUUUUCCACUUUAGCAUUAAUAAACAGCUUCAUAAUGUUAUUUCUCUUUUCAGAGAGUUAUACUAUGACCUAUAAGCCUCCUUAGUUUUGCCUAUAUUAAAUGUCAUACAAUCAGAAGUUCCAGUAUGAAGAGAUGGUUAAUCUAUAAGGACAAAAAAUAUAUAUCGUGCAAUAGUGAGAAAUUUGGUCUUGCAAUGUACACGAGGUCUAAUCACUCAAAAAUAACCUGAAAAGAAGAAACUCUAAUAUGUAAAACCAUGAAUAGACAAGGACAAAAUGGUGUAACUUUGUAAGAUGUUUCAAAUUUUGAAUGGAAAGCCAAAGUCAUUGUGAAUAGAUUACCAAGCCUAUCCAGUGCAAAGUCAACUAGAUUUUCUGGAAACUGCAUUGUUAGUAACGCAAUCCUUCUACCAUCAGUUUCGUAUUCAAUAUCAGGUUCCUGUCAAAGAAAAGCAAGAAACAGUAAGAAAUUACACAGAAUGAAAUACAAGACAUGUGGAUCACACAUUAUGCGUUUACCGGUUUGGGUUCCAUUAGCCCAUGAAAGCUGGUUCCAGGUUGUUCUGUUACAGUACUCUUAGUGAGAAUCUCUAAUAGAAAUUCAAUAUCAUCUUCACCUGGAUGUGAAAAGGCAAACUCAGUAAUCAUACACCCCAAAUGAAAGUUAGCAUCCAUAGGUAGUCUUUCGUAAAAUAACAAUUUUUUACAGGAAACUUUAGAAUACCAUUUUCAUCAAUUGCUUUCUGAACAAGAGUUGGGCAAAAUCCCAUCUCAAUCAGCAAUGACUUAACAUUGCUUCCAGAAGAACUAGCAGCAUUGUCCUGCACAUCAAGUAGGAAAACAAUAAGAACCUUCCUAAACCACUACUUGUUCUUUUACCUGUUGAUUAGUAUUUUUCAAAGAUGUUCACAAACAACAAAAAAAAAACAUUUUAAAGUAAAAAAUGUAGAGACAGUGGAUGUUUAAGAAUCGAAGCCAUUUGUGUCCUCUAGGUAAAGAAAGGUUAACAAACAUACACCAAUCUGGUGAGGGUAAGAGGUGUCGCAGGGCAAUUCAUAGUCCAAAGUCUCUGGUUUUGGAAACAGUAUCUGCUCAUUCCUUUCAUGAUUAGAGGAACCUCCAUUUCCAUUUCGUCUACGCAAAUCACCCUGCAAAAUUCCAGACAAAAAAAAAACAAAUUGAAAAAGUGAUUCCAGGCAAAAAGAUAACAACAGUCCCAAAGUAGCCAAAUUCCAUACCAUUUGAAUUAAAAAUCACACACAAAAUCUCACGAGCAAAGUCCACAAACUCCAAAGCAAGAAAAUUUCACAUGAAAGCCUGCAGAUAGAUACCAGAGAGAUUAUUAUGUCAGUGUCCCCAAAUGAAAAAAAAAAAGAAUUGAGCAGCUACUUGCUCAUCGAUGAUUUGUCCCAUAAACGGCAAGGGAGAAGAUGAAAUCAAUAAAGCCCCCAAAAUAGAACACACCUCGAACUAAGAGAUUAAACCACAAGUGAAAAAGUAAUUCCUGAGAUUGCGACAAAGAGACCCACAGAGAGCGAGAGAUAGAGAGAGAGGAAGAAGGUGCAUGCCUGUGCGGUGGUCCGCGUCGGAGGAAAAGCUAGCUAACCAAGUAAGAAGAACUUGAUCGCACUGUACCGUGGCGCGUGGACUACACUGCUGAGACUAUGGUCAAAUCUGAAACGAAUUUAUUCAUUCCUUUUGAGCAGUCCGGUAGAUCGAGCGCUUAAGUAAAACGAACGGUCCAGAUCAUAGAGUUUGGAACAUAAGAUUAUAACUAGUUUCUGUUUAAUAUUUCAAGUUUUUAGAUAAUUUUUCAAAAUUUGUAAUGUUUUUAAGAUGCUAAAAUUUGUAUAAGAUUUAUGUUUAUACUUAAGAGUUAAAUUAAUUAUAUUAGAUACGCAAGCAACGUGUAAAAACAUCAAAACUUGAUGAAAAAACCCAAGGAAACCUACUCUCCCAAUUCCCAAACUUUGAGAAUGAUUGAAUUUUACAGAGAUAAUUAAUAGAAUUCGAGUUAUUUCUCAACAAAGAUUAUGUUUUCUUCGCCGAGUCUUGUUGAGUUUGUACUACUGUUAAUGCAAGAUUUUUAAAAUAUUUGUUUUGACUAAUCUUCAUCAUCAUCAAAGAACAUGACAAAAGAACAAAGCAAGAACUAAAUCAUAGAUUUUGUAAAUGGACUAAUUAAUGACAUGGUUUCUUCCUUUUGUUUCGUGCAUGGUGUAAGUUGCUAGAUUUGCACUGAACUCGGAACAUAAGAGCACACAAGUGGAAAACAAUAUUUGUGGACAGAUUCUCCGAGAUCCGCUUCUUUGUCGUAUCCAUCCACUCCAACGAUGUUGGCUGUGUUGCGACUGGACUUAUGAACCCAUUUGCCUUUUAUCAAAAACCACGGCCACAUUCUCCUCCUCAUCAACGAAGAAAGUCGCAGCUCUAGCCGGGUCUAGUCUUAUCUCAUCUACUAUUAAAAACAAUUUGCUCCAUGACACCGCAUUUGGCUCAAUCUUAUUACUAAUCCAUAUCUCUGUCCAAUGUUGAUGCUGACCUAACACUGCAAGUUGCUCUUCUCCAACAAUAGAUAGAGUUAUAGUAUCUUCUCUAAAAGGGUACUUAAAUGGCAGAGGCAGAUGCGGUCCAAAUUUCUCUGUUGUAAAAUCAAAACAUAGUAAAAAACCAGGGAUCUCUUCUAAUAUCUCAAAAUGUAAGCUCUUCUGUCUUAGAGAAGACCAGUAAGUAUUACCCUUGAGAGACACGCCAUGUUGAUCUAUAGUCCAGUCGGGGGUGACCUCAACAUCCUUCCAUGAAUUAGAGUUUAAAUUGUAGAUUUCAAACUCCCAUAGUGGGUGUAAAUCUCAAAAUUUUGUGGCUACGAUAAGAGUUGUUAUUCAUCUCGUACCCGAGAGCAUACUUGUAGUAGUCCCAUCUCUUGUAAGAAAUUCGAGGUUGGACCCUUCUUGUUUGCCCAGAAUAAGGGUUCCAAACCACAAGCCUAGAGUUGUCAUUGGUGAUGCAUAACAACAAACCAUCACAGUGACAAACUUGAGAUAUACUUAUUCGAUCAGCAACGUUUAGGCUAAUAAGUUUACCUUUCUGCUUUAUAGAUGAUUCAACGUUGUCAUCUUUGUGAAUUUCAUCUAGAUUGACGCUCAUCAGAUAAACCUUAUAAUUCAUCGUCAUGAUCGCAUGAAACUCCUUCGCCUGCUUCUUCUUUGGUUCUGCUUUUGCUUGACAAACCAGCUUCUUUGUAAAGCUCCGAUGUUUAGUUAAAGUGUUCCACUUUUUGCAAGUAAAUCGUACUGCUCUCAGAGAUGUAACUGGAACCCUAGAGAGCACCUCCUCUGCCAAAUCCCUAGGAAGAUCGGAAAUCUUCGUCAUUGUUUUAACAAAUAUCAAUGAAAUGGAAAUUAGGUCGUCCUUGUUUCAAUAAGGAUAGACGUACGAAAUGGUGAUUAGGGUUUUACUUCCACGUUUUCAAUCUUUUUAUAUAGAGACGGUUCAGUCAAAUAAGUUAAUACUCGCUCUGGUUUUUGGGCCCGGGAAGACUAUGGUGAAAAGAAACGAUUUUGAUCCUGUAGGUUUACGAAAGCCUUAUUGAGUUUGUUACAAACUCAACAUAGUGCCUUCGUAUUUGAUGCUGAAAGAGAAAACACCAGUCGCAUACAUUAGUAUUGCAUGACAAACACACACAAAUUUCGAUCAAAAGAAGGAACCAACUCUUUAAUCAAACCCAACAAACCAAAACGCUACCACUGGCAACAAUCAUUUGACCAAACUGAGACGAUGAACAAGGAUUCUCAAACCACCAAUCAGACCCUUUUUAAAGGUAAAACUAACCAAUCUGUACAUACCAAUUACCAAAUCUCUUUCUCGAACCAUAUUGACCAUGCUUUAUAUUAUGUAUAAAAACAAGUUAGACAAAGACAAUGUCAAAACCCCCCUGGUUUACUUCUGAACUGAUCUUGAGUUGAGAAGAGUUGUACCAACUGCUACGAUCUUCGAGGAUGAAUCUGCAGAUACCUUUACUUUUAUGGGCAACGAUCCUACUCUGAGGAUGUCAUCAGCCAGAGACCCAGUAACCUCUUCAGAAGAGUCUGAUUUGUGAUCAGAGCUGAGAGAUGGGGCCGGUUUAGACUUGGCUUGGGUCGGGUUAAAGGUGGUACAAGCAGUCGGUUUAAUGGUGAGAGAACCAAUCUUCAGAGUUGAAGGAGUAGAAUCUUCUGUUGCUUCCUGUGGAUUGCUCUUUUCAUUCCCAUCUGAGUUUUUUAACUGCACACCUUUUGUUUCUGCAGAGGUCACUGGAGGCUUCUUGACGACAUCCUUGGAGCUUUUCUUGCUUCUGUCAUAACAAUCUAGUUUAAGCACGGGAAAUGGCCUGCGAAAGGUCCUGAAUGGAAGUCUAGCUCUCUCUUCCUGCAUGAGUCUCUGGCGGUUUUCGUAGUACAUAAAAUCAUCUAAUAGUGAAGUCUUUUCCGCAUGAUUUUUGAAUAGUUUUAGCACCUCGAGUCCUUGUUUCAGUAUUAUCUGCACACAAACGAGAAUGAUUAGAUUGAAACUUGAGAUAUCAAAAUCAGAGUUCUCGGAAUCUAGUUUUCAAGGUGAAGUGUUAAGUUAGGAAAACUCACCUCUUGUGUGUCUCGGCUGUUGGUCACUGGCUUAUUCUCAUUAUUAUGUAAAAUAAUGUGCCUGAAAUAGCUAUUAGGAACAUCUUUAAUGAUGUGCCACUUGACAGGAAAGCUUCCACUCCAUUUGUCUUGCUGCCAAAAAUCCAUGUCGCGGUCGAAGGAAAUUGGACCGGUCAUCUCAGCCACGCCACAGAACAGACCACUGGCAUUGACCUAAAACGAGGGAAGCACUACAUCAGCAUGAGCCCAUAGUAUGAAUGCAAACACAUUGGCACAAGGAACAAAGAGGAAGAAUGGACUCACAGAAAAGAAUAAGAAAAUAGGACAUUCACGAGACUUCUCAGUGGCUAUUCUCUGAGUAUCUUCAUAUACACCCUGCAAUUUCUUGUUCCCAUGCAAUGUUGAUGACCAGACACCAUACUUGAUGCUCUUGUGAACAUCAUCUUCACUAUACGAUUUAAUCACAAAAAACUUGGCAUCGCUGUAAUCAAGACUGAAAUCUUCUUUAUUAUAUUGAUCAGGACUUAUCACAAUGUUUCCUUCCGAAUCAACGUUUCCAGCUUUGGUUGUAUAAGCUUUGACAAUUAGUUGAUUUCUUGAUCUUCUCGUUCUUAUACCUCGAUUUUGUUCACUCGUAUCUGGACUUCCGGUUACGUCAGUAUCACCUCUGCUAUCAUACAUCUUGGAACGAGGCUUGCAACUAUUUGAAACAAUGGAUGGAAACCCUUUAGCAAUGUCAAAGUGCCCAUAAGACGAGAGUCUGCUACUGGAAACAGUGUCAACGGAGGCAGUUUUUCCCUGCAAAAACAUACACACGACACCAGAAUCAACGUAGGAAUGAUGGCUAAGAAAGCACUGCUGUGUUAUAAAAAGACACUCCUCGUAAUGCAAAAAUACACCCAAUAUUUACAAGAAAACAGAAUCAGGAAUAAUUCUAUACGAGAAAUUACCUGGAGAGAAUGCGCGGAAGCUGUUGGGGAAACAUUCUUGGGGAUUCCUGGCUGUUUAUUCUGGCCAGUGUUAGACCUUAGCUUCCCAUGGGUCAUACCCAAGGAAUUCACUGUCGAAGAUUUUGGAGCAUCUUUUGGAAAUACGGCAAUUGCUGAAGCACUUCUCGGCUUGGAACCUCUUCCAUCAGAUUGACCACCAUUGGCUAAGUCAGUUGUUGCCAAAGAGUCUGUUGAACUAUUCGAGACCAUAUCAGGCUGAAUAACAUAUGGAGCAUAAGUAGGUGAGGAUGCAGCAUUUUCAUAGGGAGGGUUUGAGUAAUAUUGUUGGAAUCCAAGAAAAGAAGAGUCAACGCCUAUUGAUGCGCCUGGUAUGUAAGGAUUGUAGGGAUUGUAGGGAGACUGUGCAUAUCCAUAACUUGGUGUAUAGCAGAUAUAAGGAGAAUUUUCAUUUUGCCCACCCUGAAGACGCACAGAUCAGAAUGUUAGCAGAUAGGACAAUAACAAAAAAAAAAAAAAACAGCAAGUUUCACACACCGUGUAUUGGACCUCUGAACCAUCUACACCAAGAAUAACCUGACGGUUCUCCCAUUCGACAGAUGAAUCAUAACCUGAAAAAAAAUCCAGUAACUUAGGGAAUUUGCAACCAUGAAAGCAAGAGUAACAAGUAAAGUUAGUGAGCCAGCUAUCAACCUGAACAGUAAUAAGCAGGAUAAUACAUGCUCUGAUCAGUAACAAAAUCAGAGGUUCCCUCGGUAUACAAUGCUUCAAUUUAUCGGAUAAAAUAUUUUGUUCAAUGGAGUUUGAAUAAACCACCUGAAAUUUAUAUAUAAAAAAAAAAAAACAGAAUUUCUCAGUGAAGAUACAAAUCCAGGAAUAGAGAGAAACUAUAACACGGCAGCAAAACUAUCAGAUAAAAUCUGAGACUCUCUUGCAAAACAAAAAGAAGAGCUCCACUAAUACAAAAUUUACCAAUUCUAAACAAGACUCGAAACGAAAAAGAGAGAGAGAGCUCUAAAUGUACGCAGAGAAGCCCUAUUUUACGGAAAUCUAAAUUAUACAAAACCAAAAAUAACACCAAUAAAAAUCUCAAAAUGCAAAGUAACGAAAUCAAAUAAGCUUAGAAGCUUACAUUAACGUGAAGCUAAAGAUGCUGAGAAACGAAAUCAAAUAAGCUUAUAAGAAAACAAAUCCAGCUAUAAAAGCAGACAAUUUUUAGCAGAAAUUUGAUAAAUAUACCAGAAAUUUGGCAGAAUCAAGUCAUACUUGACCUAAACAGUUCUUCGACUGAAGAAGAAUUUGGGUACCGACGAAGAGUUAGAGUGACAGAGAGAGAAGUUAGGAUAGUGAGUUCAGCAGAAAAAAGUUGAAAUAAUAAUCUACCGAAUCGAAGAAACCCUGACACUAAGAUGAGUGAGGUAGAGAGAAACGAAGAAGACGACGAGAAGAUUCGCUGAGUGAGAAAAAUGGAAAUUAGAAAAACCCAGAAGACGCGCAAAGACAGACAGAUUCCGCUGUUUUGUUGUCAUACGCAGCGUUUUCAACCGAAGAAUCUAAGUAAUGCUAAAGUCGAUAAUACCCUUGAAAUUGACCUUUACAGGCCCAAUGGUCUAAAAGAUCCCUUACCAGAAACGGUAAAUAAAAGGUCGUUACUUGCCAGAUUUGUAUGGCCUACAUUAUCCAAAUAUGUAACUCCAAAACCACUAAAAACAAGUGAACAAUAUUGAAUAUUCGAAACAGACAGUAUACAAAUUUCUUACAAAUAUAUCUCUAAAUAUAAAAGAUUAUUUUUCAUGUCUAAUAAGUCUAUUAAGAGACCAUCAAAAGACUUUUUGAUCUGAUAAGUUUCAAAUGGCUCAAAAGUCUCAAUCAAACAUGGAACACCAAGGAUGAACAAAACCGCAUCAAAACUUGGAGAAAGAGAAAACUGUAGUUUAAUGUUUAGAGGCACUUAGAGAAGAGACUUGUGUAUACAGGAAAAGAAUUGAGAAAGGUUGAGAUUACUUCAGAGGGUACGAGUUUUAUUACUUUCUCGUGCUGCUUCUCCAUUAAUGUUAACACCAGUUUCUGCGGAUCGAUUUCAUUCAGAGAACCUGCAAUAUCAGUACUUAAGGAAAUUAAAAAUCUCGAUUUUAAACAAAGUUUUAAGUUGUUUCUUAUCUUGUUGUGAAGAGCAAACUUGCCCAAAUCAAUCUCAUGGUCAUCAUCUUCUUCAUCCGCCUCUUCAAUUACUUCACUCUCCUCCAAUUCUGCUGCAGCUUUGGCAUACCUUUGUAGAAACUCUUCCUCCGUUUCUUCACACUCGUCAUCGCUCUCAGAAUCCUGUUCAAAAAAGACAUAAGAUGAGACAGCUUAUUUGGGAAGAAACAAAUCACUAGAAGAUCCAAUGUUGUUUCUUGAAACUAGUCGUUUAUAAACUAGUUUGCAACUGGACCAGCAAAUUGGUUGCUUAUCUGAGUUUAUAUCCUUAUACUAGUUUUAACAAUAAAUUACAGAACAGACUUUGAUUGUAAUUUAAUAACGAGUACUAGAAAUCAAAUCAAACCUCAUCAUUUGAAUCAGUUUCUUCAGAUUCUGUCUCUUCUUCUCCAGGUUCUCCAUCAUCUUCAUCAUCGUCUGUUUCUUCGUUCACUUCCUUUAGCCUCCGAGAAGCAUCCAUCAAUGAAACAAAGCACUUCCUUGCCAAAUCAUCAGUUGCAUUCCCGUGCCUUACAUCUAAAAGAUGCUUGAUCACCUUUACUACCGUCAUCACUGAAACAAGAGGACUUUUAGCCUAUGUUCAUGCAUUUAUGAUUAACAACAGCUACUAUAUACAACUAAACCUUUUAUGAUUAACGAGUUGGCAAAAGCACAGGUUUUAACAUGUGAGCUGUAAUCGUAAGUUUGAUAAUUCUCAAUCACCACAGAAAGGAAAGAUUUAUCUACUCACCAUAUAGUUUUACUUCCGAUACUACUGAUGGACUGGCAUCACACAUAAGCGAGUAUGAAAAAGCCAAUGAAGAUACCCAUAACUCGAAACCUCCAGAUAUCACUUUCUCUAAAACGCCUUCCACAAUAUCGGAAUAGGAGAUAUAGCAUGAUGAUAUUGCCAGUAAUAGAGGCCUCCACAAUGUACAAGGUUUCUCACGCAAUGCUAGAAAAUGAGAAAAGGCUGAUUCAGUGAAGACCAUCGCCAAUGAUUUCCCCACCCCUUCGAUGUCAGAUGAGUAGUUGGGUACAUAUAAUAAUGUGUGGACACAAGAACAAGCCCUCCUUGUGGCCGACGGAUACUCAAGUAUGGCUUUGCUGACAAAUGAACCAAUGGAUUCAACAACAGAUCGCGGACGGACUGGCAUGGCUGGAGGGGAUGCCAUAUCUCUGAAAAGGAAACUCCUAAAACCAUAUUUGUUGUUUAUACCCACAACUUCUUCUAUACAGUCAAAAACUGAUAAAUCCUCCGACUCUUCCCAACCAUUCCAACUAGCAAGAAUAUCGGCCCAAACUAUGAGUAAUUCACUUAAUCUGAGCUCCACAAAUACAUUGCAAUUAGUGCAGGCAAUCACAAUGAACCGCAACAUCGUCGACAAAUGAUCUAUGCUUGAAGUCGGAGGCACAUCUGUUGCCUGAACCAUGCAAAGAGAAAAGGCAGAGCAGUAUCCUAAAAUUAGAACAGUGUUUCAAUUUCCAUAAAUUGUAGUACAAAGGAGUAGUAAUGUUUGAAGAUAUCACAGUAAUUAGAGUAAGACAUAAUUUAACUACCAGCCAUGCGUGCUGUAAAAGUGCUGACAAAGCUUUGCUGAUGUUGCCUUGACCAGUUAGCCAUAUUUCAGUCGCCUGAUUAUUCUCCUCAUCCGCUUCAGGCUUAGAGCUUUCAUAAGUCUGAGCCAUCGCUGCUAAUGUCUCAAGGCCACCUAGAAUAGCCUACGUUGAAAACAAUAUAAGAGGUAUUAGAAAUAAGGUUGAACUGACUAACUUGUAAUGUCCUCAAAAGAUAGUAAAAAUUUCACAAUACCUAGACCAGGAACAACUGAAAUACUACAAAUAUUUUGGUAGCGUCAAGGAUUUCAUGUGCGUGAUAUAAACAUAAGCAGAAUGUGUCAAUUUUUUUUACUUCAAAACACGAGGAAUACAUUCCGUUACCUUCAGUUUCAUGUUGUCGAAGCUUCAAAUAUAAGCAAAAAUAUUAAGAAAGGCAGGAAUUAAACAUACCUGAGACCAUGGAUCUUCACUUGGAUGCAUAAACUUCAACAUAUUACUAACUAGCGAAGAGACAAUGUACGGAAUAUGCGUGGCAAUAUCUUGAUUUCCCGACUCGACCACAGAUUUGAGAAGCUGAAACAACAUGCUAUCCUCGUCUUCCUCAUUACCAAUCUUACCAGUAAUAAUCUGAAGAAACGGCAACCAUUCAGGUGGUUGGUACUCAUUCUGAAGAGAACGAACAUAUUCUUUGAGUUAGAUAUGACAAGCCAUCAGUUCAAGCCACACGUUCAAUUGCUAAUAUAAGUGCUGACUUACUUCGAGCAGUGAACCUAUUCCACCAGCAGCUGAAAAACGCACUGGGUAACAAGAAAUCUCCACCUGAUCUGGCAUUGCUAAUGCCUUCAGCAGGGAAGAAAAAACAUCUGCAUUCAUUUCCUGAAAGCAUAAAGCAAUAAAUCAAUUAUCUGAUCACUAGAAGUAAAUUGUUACAAAUUUUAAUCAGUGACUAAAAUAUAUCAUAUCCCAGCAAAUGGUUUUAAUAAAUAUAAAUAUUUUGGUGAUUUACAGCAUCAAGAAGAAUAAGUAAAAAAAUUUACACCUCAGGUAGGCAAGACGCAAGCUCUCCAAGUACCCAGUUUGCAGAUGCAACCAAGUAAGGUGAGCAAUCAGGUGUAGAAUAAAUCGGUAGCACACGGGUACGGACAAAAGAUGCCACAUACUCAGGAUUUUGUUCUUGGAUAAACUGCCGGAAAAAGGGAGCCACCGUAAUUCUAUGUACUAUAUCAGUCAAUGCUUAAUUGCAAAACAAAGAGAACCAGAUUUGCUCACCUCUUGCAGGCUACCAUAUGCCAUUAGGACACCGAAAUAGCUGAAAUGUCGACGUAGCAACAAAGUCAGCUUAAUAACAAAGUAAAAGGAAAUGAAACAAGAUAUACUAAAGUGAAAGAGAACAGUAAACAAGAAGCACUUCCAACCCGAUAUUAGAUUUUCAAAAUGUUAAAUAGUUGUCUACGACAAGUUGAUCACGAGCUUGCAAAACGAGUUUUUAAAGUUCCAUUACAAGAACAUAUUUUCUAAUACCCACUGCAAGCAUUUAACUUAACAUUACUCACUACGUCAAACAAACAUGACCACACUGCUCAGAGCUUGCAAAAGCAUUUUUAUUUGGUUUAGGCAUCUGCCAAGAAUUUCAGUGAGUUAGAAUCAGAAGUCAUGAAAAUGUAUAGAACUCACGCUGCUGAAGUACUAGCAUCCAGUUUGUUACUCUUAGAAGGCACAUAAAAUUUUGACAAAAAUGGAAGCACCAGUAGAUCUCCCAUGCAUCUUUGGUUAUUUCCUCUGUUCUUUUCACCUUUCUUCCGCUUACAUGCUGCUGAGGAAGCUUUAUUUGUAGUAGAUACUGGUGGUCCCUAUGAGAAUUGGAUCACAACCUAUGAACAAAUAGCUGAAAUAGGUAAAUGAACAACUAUAGUUUCUUCACCUUUGACAUGGCAAGGACACCAAGUAAGUUCAUAGCGCUUUUCCUCGCUGUAAACAAGUCAUCCCUCCACCCAGAAAUUUCUUCCUGCCAAACGAAAGUGCUAUUAUGUCCUAACUUCUGGACCAUAGACAAAAAAUUAAUCCGUGUAGAGAGAGAUAGAGUAAGUUUCCAUACUAGUUCAGAUGGAAGGUUUUUCCUUAUGAAUUCAUCUGCAUCUUCUUCCCACUCAGAGAUGUCCUACUUGCAAAAGCAACCCAGAAAGACCACUAAAGUUUUUGAAAUAAUGGUAGUAAGCAAUGCUUGCAACACAGAUUACAAUUUUAGGAAAGCGUACCCUCUCAUUAAGCACCAGGGCUGGAAAGAUUGCGAAGUCCAACAAAAAGGAAAAAUGGGGUGAAAGUAAUCUCCAUCCCUGUUUACAAGGUACCAAAAUUUGCUUUCAUAAACAUUUGAUAAAUCUAUAUAUAUUUGCUGUAAAUAUUCUAACAACUUACAGGGCCAAUUUCCAUGACGCGUGAAAUUACAUCAAAAGCAAGUGAUAUAAUUCUCUCAGUUAGGCAUCCGAGCUUCUGCACAUGAUAGUAGGCCCUCAUAGCAUUAGAUUAAGAAGAUAGUAACAUUUUGAUGGAAGCAGUAAUUUUUGUAGUAACAAAUUAAAAAAAAGAAAUUGCUAAACAUACAUACACUGAUGUUUGAGCUAUGUUUGACAAUCUUCAUUGAGCAGUUUACUAUCUCCGGCACCAAUCUGCAUAAAUCAAAUAUAUUAGGUGUGGGAAAUAAGCAUUGCUAAGAGGAUCUUAAGGUGUUCGCAUACUUGUCAGAGUAUUUUCUAUGUCUGCUGACGAGUGUGCCAAAGAGGAGCAAACUUCUUUUUCCAGCUUUCGACCUUAUCAAGUACCCAUCAGAAGGAGUUACACUCCAGUCAAAACUCAAGGAGUCCAGAAUUCGGAUCAUAUCUCGACAGAAGGAAUCGAGCAGAGGUGACAAAGCAGAUGGCAUAUGAGACUUCACCUACAACACAAAACACCCUUAACAAAACAACCACAGUAGAUAGCACAACAUGAACAUGAAAUGAAAAAUGAUAAAUUAAGUGUAAUAAUCAAUGGCAAUUUUCAAUCACCCAGACAUGCAAUAACAGUUCUGAAACUUCGUGUAUCUGCAAUAUAAACUGAAGGUAUGACUUACUGAAAAGUAUAGGCAUUUGCAAAUAAUGUGGAGUGUCUUUUCCAAUUCCAGUUCAUCCCAUCCAUGGGUAGUCAAAGCCUGCUUCAGAAUCAUACCAGAUAUGAAUACUCAUCGAGAUCCAAAGAGCAGAUGUAUCUUACAUAAACUUGUGAGCAGAUGAAGAACGAGAAAAAACUAAGAGAAAAGGAUAACCUUGUCAAUGAGACGAUGUAAUACUGACACCAAGGGUACUAGAAUUUCUUUCGUGAUACUCUCUAGCUGUUGUGGUACUGGCUCCUUUGCAAGUUUUGGUUGCAGGAAGUACUGCAGAGCAAACAGACAAAAAUAAGCCAGCCUCAUUCUAAUAGACCACAAUGGACCCGGUUCAACAGAGAACCACCCCUUCAAAAUACACAUGUUUCAGAUUUAUUUGGAGUAGUUAAUACUCUUAAAUUUGCAGCCAGAAGCAACAAAAGUUCACAACCAAAAUAAGGGAUGAUCAACCAUAAUAUGAUGGAAAACGGGGUGCAGUAGAGGAGCGCUGAUGGAAGAGAGAGAGAGAGAUAUAAAAUAUUUUUUUCCUUACGAAAGAGAAUGUUACAAAUACCUGAAAAGGCUUUACAACGGUAAGCAAUACCAUCAGAGCGUUCACAGUACUCCAGCUAGAGUUUGAUCUGCUAAUUAAUCUACUGUUCUCGAUAGCAGAGCGGAGCUCCGGUACAAGUUCAGGCCAUGCAUUUUUCUUCACAUAUUCUGAAAUGACAACAAUGUGGAGCUGCCCACAAUUGAAGUAAAAUGAAGGUUUGCACAAAAUUAAAAUUUACAGGAAGAAGGGAUUUAUAAUAAGAUUUGCAACAACUAAAUGAACAUAAUAAGCUUGUUGAAUAUGCCUACCAGUUCAAGUAAAACUUUAAGAAGUGCAGGCUCUGCCUGAAGCAAAGCUAGGAGCAGCUGAUCCUUAAAGUCCUUGCUGGCUUCUGAGAUUAUCCCUUCAAUCCCAGUCCUCCUUCUGGUAAAAUUCUUCAGAUAUGUUGCAGCAGCAACUCUCAGGCUGGAAUUUUCACCUCCUGUCAACCAGAAAAAAAAUUGAACUAGCCCUCAUUCAACAGCGAUUGAUAGAACCAAAAGACUCAGCCGAUUUAGUUCAAUCAUGUAUAGGUUUUGUAUCAGCUGAAUCAAAAAAUAUUGCUAAGCAUUUAAUACUCUUCAAGAAACUACCUCCACGAUUAUCAAACUCCAGCACACUGAAAAAUCCUAUGCUACGGCCAAAAGGGCAGCUCAAUUUGGAUAUCUUAUGCAAAAUUCAUGGACACAACGGAUGAGAAUGAACUAGAAGCAAAGCAAACAAGAAUAAAACGCUUGGGCUUGGGUUCUUUACUCAGAAAGUCAUAAACCAAAUCAUAACUCUUAACAGAUUUCGUGAAAUCGUUACGACUGUGAAGUCAACCAACGUAACCCUAAUUGAGGAAAUCAAAAUCACAACUCUUCUUCAGAAUUCAAUGCGUCAAAAUCAGUUCGAGGAAAGUAAAAUCGGGUAGACAACAAAAAAAGAAAAAAUUGAAAGCUUGCCGGAAGCGAGGGAGAGAAGACGAUAUGGGAAGUGAGGGAGCUCCGUAGAAAGUCGAUCCAGAGCCUCCGUCGCCUCGCGGACUGCAACGCCAUCAAUGGAAGUAAGCGUCUGGUCAAGAAGCCGAACAAUCUGAACUGAGUCGUCGUCGCCGACGAACAUUGCGUUUCUUUUUUUUUUUUUUCUUGUUGCUUUUUCAUUUUCUUCCCUCCAAGCUUUUUUAUUUACUGAUGAAAUUGAGGGACAUCAGUGGCGGGAAUAAUUCAGGUUUCUUUAUAUUAUGUAUUAGGGAAGAAGAAGAAAAAAUAAGUUUUGUUGAAUUUUGGAGACUUUGACAAGUGUUGGUUCGAUACCGAAGACUACGAAGAAUAUAACAAUUAGUUUGUGUUGUGUAUAGUAGUCGAAAAAUUUGGAGUCUAAACUUUGGGGUAGUUUAAAGUCCUUCUUAUUUGGAGUGGUUUGGACGAUCAAGCGUUUCCGGUAUUGCAAGGAUCUUCUUCCCGGUUGUUAGCUUCCUCUGCCCUUGUUGCGGAGCUUGUAACCCUUUGGGUUACACUGGAUGCAGUCUCUCAUGAAGUCUUUUGGAUCGUCGCGUUUCGAUCUCGUUUGGCUUCUUUUGUAAAGAUGUGUCUUGCAUUUAUCCCGUGUAUCUUCUCUUAGAGUAUUUCUAGGCACUUCCUGCCUUGUUAUCUUAUAUUUUCCUUUUAUUUGGGUUGUAAUUCCUCCUCCUCUGAGUGAGUUUGAAACUUAAUUUCAAUGAAAAUUAUCAGUUUGACCCAAAAAAAAAAAAACUUUGGGGUAGUUAGCAAAAUCAACCCCAAAAACCUUAAUGUGUAAUGAUCAUUGUCUUGGUUAGCUUCUCUACACGAUGUAGUUAUUAAAGAUAUAUGUAUUAGCUAGUUUAACAUACAUUAUAUUCGUAGUGAUAUAUGUUAUCACAGCAUUAUUACCACUCAUGAUGUAAAUUAUUCCAACAAUUACGUUGUCUCAUUUAUUUAAAAUCUUUUCCUAUUGUUAGGUUUUGAUCCUUUCUCUGUGGACAAAAAAUAUGUUGUAUAUAUGAAAUCUCCAAUUGGUGAUAAUUGGCAUGUAAUUCAUUGUAUGUAAGAGCAUAGAUUGUUUUGUAGACCUGCUAAUUGAUACGGUUGGUCAGGUGCUUUGCCCUUUCCAUGUUGAGUCUCUGUAGCUUCUUUUAUGUAAUGACACCAAAUAUAAAAUGACAAGAAUUUGGUUGACAGAAAAAUUAAAUAAUGACAACAACUUUAAUAAAAUAAAAAAACAAAUGCCUAUAAUUUAAACUUGAAAGCAUAUCCAGCUCUAGUCAAUGAAAAUUUUCUGAAAUCUAACCAAAUUUUUUUUUUUUUUAAAUAUAUAUAUAUAUUUUUAUAUUCCAUUAAAAUGCAAUGAAUUCCAAUAUAAUUUAUUUCUUUAUUUAUUAUUAUAUAACUUGUUCAUUUCUAAUUUAUAAUGAAGAUUUUUAACUAUAGACAUUAUAUAUACAAGUUUUCUUUCUACCUAUUUUUUUUUUGACAGCACAAGUUUUCUUUCUACCUAUUUUUACUUAAUUUGAAAAACUAACUUUUAAAAAAGAAAUUCCAAAGUUAUGUUAUAUAAAUACGUACGUCAAUUAACUAUCGAACACGUACAAAAGUCUACAUAAUACAUUAUAAUGCAAAGAAUUCAAUUCACUUCGCAAAGGAGUAUAAAUGUAUAAUACAAAGUUACUUUAUAAUUUAAAGCAUUCAACUGAUCUAGCCAAUAAUUUUAUUUUUAGAUCCAUCCAAGUGUAAUUUUUUAAAUGUAAUGAAUUUCAAUGUAUUGGCAACCAAUACAUUUAUUUUAAAAAUUUGAGAUCUUGAAAUUAAAUUCAAAAAUUGUGUUUAUAAACACUUUAGUAUUGUACUAAUGAACACGUGUAAGAGUUUACUUAAUUAAUAAUAAGAUUAAAAAAAAAAAGUGACUUUAUAAUUUAAAGCAUACAACUGUAGUUGAGAAUAUUUUGUAAGAUCCAUCAAAAUUUAAUUUGUUAUCAUCAAAAUCCAUUUAAAAGUUUAAUUUCAAUGUAUUUGCAAUCAAUAAAUAUCUUUACCUAUUUCUUAAAUUUAAUUCUUUAUUUAAUGAUAAUAAAGGUAUUUAACUAAAGUAGACAUUGUAUAUGUGUAUAUAUGUGUAAUGCGUAUCAUCUUUUUACAUAAUUUGGAGAGAUCAAAGUGAAGAGUUGACAAGGGCUUAACAAGGUAUUGUUGUUGUCGUCAAGUUCUUGCCGGCAGUUCUGAACUUAUGUUUUUUUUGCUCAAGCUAUAUAUUAUUUAAAGUAGAGUCGAGGAUAGAAGUUAUUUAAUUAUGUUUAGUGAAAAUCAAUGGAUACAUACAUAUUGUCAUCACAAGACAAAAUCUCUAUACCCGCUUAAUGGUUAGAAUUCAUUGUGAUCAGUCUGAUCAUUGUGAUAAUUCAAGCUAUAUCGUGCUCACUGGCGGACCUACGUUCAUGAAAGGGGUGGCAGCUGACCUCCCCAUAUUUCAAAAUUUUAAUUAUAGUUAUGAGGAAAAAAUGUAUUUAGCCCAUCAAUUUUUUUUAUUUUUAGUUAUGUUUGACCUGGCUGAAAAAAUAUUCUGGGUCCGCUAUUGAUCGUGCUUAUCUGGCCUUUUCACGUUUUUAUUAUUAAUGAUAUGGAAUUAAACAUCUGAUAGGAAACAUUCUUGGCCGCCUAAAUCUUUUGCUGCAUUUAAGAAUCAACAAAAAAUAUGUUUUAUAUAUAUAUGUAGUAAUUUAAUUUAGACCCUUUAGUUUAAGUAUAAUUUAAUACUAUGGAUCUUGCUUUUGUAGAUGGAGAAGGAGAACACCUUGAAUGAUACCUUGAUUGAAAAAGAAAGCAUGUGGAUACGUACAUGUGGAUUUUUGCGCAUGUGAGUGUUUUCUUUUUUCACGUAAUAACUAUCAACAUAAGAAACAAAUUUUUCGUUUUAAUGAAAGAAUGUCUAAACUUUUGGUUAAAACUAAUGACAGGGUGACGUCAGGAUUAGUCUACCCAAUAGUCAUACAUUCUGUAUUCGUGACCGCAUUCGCUUUGCUAUUUUUGCAAGUAUUGCGUACAUAUGGUUUUGAUCACGACGAGCUUAUGAACGUUCUUUACGGUUUCUUCUCUUACUUGUUGUGUGGCUUAUUUGAAUUAUUUAUAAGACGCUAUUGGCCGCUGCCGGACGAUUGCAUACCUGCCGUUCAUAUCUUGGAAUAUUGUAUGUUUGUACAUCCACGUUAGCAUUAAAUUAUCUGGAUUUUGUUUUCUUAUUUGUCGAAAUAUUAUUUGGAUGUUGGUUUUUCUUUGUUUGGUGUCUCUUCGCAUUUGAACUACCAGUUCAAAAAUCAGUGUCUUUGUAAUUUCUGAUUAAAUUAUGCAUCAUUAAUGUCUAAUUCAAAAGAUCUACUAUAUAUAGAUUUGAGAUUUAUUCUACGUAAGUAAAACUAUUAUAGAAUAUUUUACAAAUUAUUAUUCAUAAACCAAAAAUCUUAAUCAAACUCUAUCGAAUCUCAGUCUAAUAAAAAUCCAGAUGAGUAUAGCAACGAACAUCAUUUAAUUAGACUGGAAACUAAACUCAAAACGAUACAUAUGUCAUCAUCUCUUAAUUAUUAGCUACCGCCUACCAGUUAGUUUUUUUGCAAAUUUUCAAGAUUAUACCGAUGGAGAGAAGACGAUAAGAGAGCUCCGUAGAAAGUCGAUCCAAAGCAUCCGUCACCCCGCGGUCUGCAACGCCAUCAAUGGAAGUAAGCGUCUGGUCAAGAAGUCGAACAUACUGAAUUGAGUCGUCGUCGCCGACGAACAUUGUGUUUUUUUUUUCUUGUUGCUUUUUCAUUUAUUUCCCUCCAAGCUUUUUUUAUUUACUAAUGAAAUUGAGGGACAUCAGUGGCGGGAAUAAUUCAGGUUACUUUAUAUGCAUUAACUCAUCAGUAUAAUUAUAUAUAUAGAAGAGGGAAUUUUUUCAUUUAAUUUUAAUGCAAAAAUGUCUAAAUUUUGGAUAAAUAAUGACUAGAGUGACAUCAGGAUUGGUCUACUCUGUAGUCAUAAAUUUUAUACUCAUGGCAGCAUACGCUUUGCUAAUUUUGCAAGUUUUGGGUACAUUUGGUUUUGAUAUCUACCACUACCAGCUAGGCAAAGUUGUUUUAUAUUCCGUCAUCUACUUGAUCACUGCCUUACUUGAAUUAAUUAUGAGAUGGUCUCCGGAGCCGGACGAUGAGUCGAUGACAUACCUCAACUUCAUAUGUUGGGGUUUCUCACCUUUUUAAAAAAACUUCAUUGGGGUUAAAUUAUCUUAAUUUUGCUUUUAUAUUUGUCGAAAUAUUAUUUGGGUGUUGGUUUUUCUUCGUUUGGUGCCUCUCACAUUAUGCUUAAUUAACUGAACCAACAGUUUAAUAAUCUCUAAUUAUAAUAAUUAAUUACUCAGUAUUCCAUAAAAAAAUUAAAUAUGGCCCCAAAGUUACAAUAAUGUUUUUGGUCACCGGCUCCAAAAUGUUUUGGCAAAUAUUUAUCAGUUUAGCUAAAAACAAAGGAAAAGUCUAACUAACUCACAAUUAAGGGAUAGAAGAAAACAACAUAUUGUACAUGUUUUUUUUUUUUUUUGACAUCUUUGGAUCGACAAAGACAUACUGUACAUGUUAAAUUUCCUUUUGUCCAAAAAAAAUAAAAAAUUUAAAAAUAAUAAUAAAAAAUGUUAAAUUUCCUUGUAAUAUAAGCAUAUUUAAAGAUUUUUCAGAAAGUAUCAUAUUUAUGAUUAUUUGUUGGUUUAUCAGCACUAGUACUCUUGUUUAAAAAAGGUUGAAUUAUUACACAAAAUAAUUUUUAGUAGUGUAGGGUAGCCUCUAUUUAGUAGUAUAUUUGAUGAAUCCGAUGUACGCAUAAGUUAUGAGUUGCCCUAAACAAACCCCUAAACCAAAUAGUAAGUAUAAAAGAAAGGGGAAAAAGAAAGUAAAGACAAAGUAUUGUACAUUACCUACAACCUCGAGAGCGUACUUGAUCAAUUUGGAGAGCUUUCUUUUGUAAGUUGUGUUUUUAAGAUAAAUGAGUUAUUGUGUUGUGGUGUGUGUGGUUUAUAUAAGCACAUUUCUUUGGGAAAAAUGGGGGUUUCAUCUUAGUUACCGUGCAAGAAUUAUUUCACCAUCUACUCGGCAAUCCUUUUUAAUUUUCUCUUCCUGAAUCCAUUUAGCAAGUAAUUUGCUUUUGGUUUUUUCCAUUUUCAUUGCUUAACUACACUAGUUAAGGGCCUUAACUCUUAAGGCAUAGUAAUAGUUGUGUUUCUUGAGUUAAAUCGCGGAUGUGGAUCACACAAUAAAAUUAAUUACCGUUCAAGAAUCAUUUCACUACUAUCUACUCAACGAUCCUUUUUAGUUGUCUCUUCUUUCAAAACCAUAUAUGGAAUCCAGAUAGCAAAUAAUUGUUUUUUCCAUUCUCAUUGUGAUUAUAUAUGUUGUCACAAUUUGUAAUCAACGCUUAUGUACGUACAAAACGAUAAGAAAUAAUAGUAAUGAUGUUUUGUGUGUUUAUAUUUUUAUUUAUAACUAUUUACGAUAUCAUUUUAAAAUGACUAAUUAAUUAUUUGGUUAUAAAACAAAUUGAAUUAUACUUAAUUUUUGCUUAUGUUUUGCUCAAAUUUUUAUUUAUUUUUUUCAUUUUUUUCUUUCAUAUUUUAUAAAAGCUUAAUCAUGUAGAUGAAAUUGGUUGAAAUUUUUCAAUCAGCUGUAAUCUUCUUUUUAACCUUAUGGUAUGUCUCAUUUGCAACUUAUAUUUAAAUACAAAUUUCAUUGAUUUCAUGUUUAUGCCUUUGCAACAUAUGUAUAAAUGAAAGAUGAAGUAUCCUCACGAGGGAGAGAGGAAGAAGAACGCCGACUCUAGAUUUCCUGUGAAUCAACACAUGGAUUGAAAAUCAUUAUACAAUUACGCAAAUUAAUAUAUAUGGGAAGAAGAAACGAAAUAGAGAGAUUAGCUAUCAAACACCAGAGAACAUAUUUAUAGAGGAAGAAAAAAAAAAAAUUUAUAGAGGAAGUCCUAACCUAAUAGAAUAGGCUUUACUUUUUACGUGUGUAUGCGUCAUUGUUUUUACGGUGUGAUCACUGCAACCUAAUACUUAUCCACUUUGAUUUAAAUUCAAAUUUUGUUUUGUUUGUUUUUUUACUAAUCACAUUUGCCAUCAAGGUUUUUUUUUUUUGAAUCUAUACCGUAAAAACAAUGACGCAGUCGUAAAAGUAAAAACUAUGGGGCUUUUGCAAAAAUACCCUUUUUCAAUACCACUUUUUAAAAAUACCCCCUUUUUAAAAUCUUAUAAAAAUGCUCUUAAAAAUAUAAGAUUUACCCAAAUAUGUAUGUAAUAUUAUUAAAACAUACACAAACUACAUUUCUAUGUAUCUAAAAUCUUAUAAAUACUUUAUAAAUACCUUAUAAAUGCAUUUUAAAUACCUUUAAAAACCUUUAAAAUAUCUUGUAAAACCUUUGAAAAACUUUAAAAAUCCUUUAAAAUAACUUGUAAAACCUUUAAAAACACCUUAUAAAACCUUAUAAAUACUUGGAUCGAGUCUUCAAGUAGUAGUUACAAUCCAUAAGUACCUUAUAAACCUAAUAAAACUUUUAAAAAAUUUCAGAUUUAAAAAAGGGCAUUUUUGAAAAUGAACAUCUAAAAAGGACAUUUUUGAAAAGGGGCACACCAAAAGGGGCAUUUUUAACAAUUUCCCAAAAACUAUUAGGUUAAGACUUUCUACAUAUGUACACAUAUUCUUUAAUUUUGUUAGUUGUCUUAGUAAUCUCUUGUAUAUUUCUCCCAUAUUAUUUAGAGCAUCUACAAUUGUUAGAGACUCUUUUGGCAAUUUUUUUUUUUUUUUUUUGGGGAAAAGACCCUUUUGGCAAUUAAAAAUAAUAAUUUUAAUAGUAUUUAAUAAAAAAUAUUUGUUGUAAAAGUUUAACCCAAUAGGAAAAAGACAUGUGUAUAAAUAGAUUGAUGAAGGAGACAUAUAUGUAAAUGCUUUUCAAUUAUGUUGUUUUGUUUUCAUGAAUUCUGUUGAUGGAAAAAAAAAAACAGAUUGAUGAAGUCGAAAUGUAGAAUCCACUAUGUAUGAUGUAAUCCUUGUUUGAAAAAUCGCUAGGCGCUAGUCGGGCGCUCGGCAUGGGCCUAGCGAUUAAUCGGAAAAUCGGAUUAAAAUCGGGGAUUAAUCGGGGAUUAGUUUUAGGGUUAUUUUAAUAUUUUUAAAACAUAUUAAUCUAAUAUUAUUUUCAAAAUUGCAGUAAACACAUAAAAAUGUAUUUUUGAGACAAAUUUUAUGAUUUUUAUUACAAAUUUAUGAUUUUUAUUAAAAUUUGAACAUAAACUCCCAAUUUAAAUGAUUGAAUAACAAAAAUAAAAAGUUUUUUUAUACUAGCAAUUUAAAAAAUAAUCGGGGUAUGUAAGAUUAGACGGGGAAUAAUCGGAUUAGGCGGGGAAUAAUCGGAUUAGGCGGGAAGUAAUCGGAUUAGGCGGAGAGUAAUCGGGUGACUGAUUUCUUUAAGGGAUUAGUCAUUAAUCGAGGCGGAUAGGGUGGGCCUAGCGAUUAAGCGGGGAGUAAUCGGGUCUAGGCGGGGAUUUUUAGAACAGGGGAUGUAAUAAUAUCAUAGAAUCCACUAGAGCGUAUCCAAUAAUGCGUGGGCCGGGGCAGCAUAAUAACAUGUAGUAUUUUUCAAUUAACAAAAAACAAAGUACUAGUAAUUUUUCAAUAUAUAUUAUAAAUUUUGACUAUUUGACAAACAAAUUAAGGAAAAAAUCACUAAAAAAUAGUACAUCACAAAACAAGGAAGUAGAAGGAAAAACAAUUUCAAGAUAAUAUUCCAAAUCUAUGCAUACAUAAAACUAUUUUUAGGAUAAUAAAUUAACAAAUAUACCAUAACGAGGUUUAAUUUAAUUUAAAAUUUAAAUUUCCAUGAUAAACCCUUUAGAGAUAGAAAGGGAAAGAGAGAUUUUACACAGCAAGAGAAAAAGAAAACAACAAUGAAGAAGCUCUUCUUCUUCUUCUCCUUCCUCUACACAAUCACAACCCUAACAUUUCCGCCAUUAACAACGUCAGCAGCAACAUCAUGCCGAACAUUAUGCGGCAACAUCCCAAUAAACUACCCAUUCGGCAUCGACGGCGGUUGCGGAUCUCCUCAGUUCAAAGGAAUGUUCAAUUGCUCCACCGAUCUAUUUUUCACCACUCCUUCCGGCAGCUACAAGGUCCAGAGCAUCGAUUACGAGAAGAAAACUAUGGUAAUCUUCGAUCCGGCGAUGUCUACUUGCUCGAUUCUUCAGCCUCACCACGAUUUCAAAAUGGCGGAUAUUCAAAACGCUCUUAUUAGACCUUCGUACGACACCGUUUUCGCACUUUUUAACUGUUCCAACGACUCUCCUGUGCAUAAUCGUUACCGGAAUCUCUGUUUUAAUGCCGCCGGUCACUCUUGCGACGAGCUUUAUAGCUCUUGUACUUCCUUUCGCAUCUUCAACACUACCUCUCCCUCUGGUAUGAAAUCAAUUUGGCUCUUUGUUCUUGAUUAAUCGCUAAUUUAAACGAUUUGAAUUCAAAUCUCGUCGAAAUUUCUCGAUAUUUCCCCAAAUUUUGAAAUUUGUGUUUCCAGGUAAUAGUACGAUUCAUACGACGCCGUAUUGCUGUUUCACUAGCUACGAUACGGUGCGGGUGAUGAGUAUGAACAUUUUGGAUUGCUCGCAUUACACGACGGUGAUUGACAAUGGGAAAAUGAGAGGCGUGGCACCUUUGGAUUGGUCGUAUGGAAUUGAGCUUUCGUUCUCGGUGCCGGAGAUUGGCUGUGACCGUUGCCGGAAGUCAGGUGGUACCUGUGGUUUUGACGCCGAGACGGAGAUAUUUCUUUGCCAAUGUUCUGGUUCCAACAACAACCCUACGAGAGAAUGUGGUAAUUACCGUAUCAAUCCCUCUACUUUUUUUAUUAAUUUCAACCAGAAUGUAGAAUUUAUUAUCUAGGUCAAUUUAGUCCUAAGACAGCAAUACUUGCUUGGAUUAGUAAUUGUUGUUGUUGGUAAAGAAAUUUUGUUGGAUUAGUAAUUGUCGCACAUCCAAUGUUGAAUUAUUUUGUUUGAUUGUUAUAAAUAUGUUUGAUAUAAGACGUUAUAUGUAUCUUUGUUCUAUAUCAGGUGGAGGUAUGACUAAUCAAGGAGGCUGCAAUUCUAUAAACAUAAAUUAUACAACCAUUCUCUUGGUUAUGUUCAUGUCUUUUCUUUACACUGUUUUGUGAUAUAUUCGUAUGUCUAUUUCUAAGAAAUUUAUUGAUUAAUCUAUGAAUUAUGUUUUGGAUUAAAUAUCCUCUUUCCUGAAAAUGUAAUUGGUAAAAUAUAGUGUUUGCUUGUAGAUGACCGUUUAAUCGCAUGUGGGGAAUAUAUUUGUAAGGACUAUUUUAUCAAUUUUUUUUUUUUUGAACAAAAGCUUAUUUUCAUUCCAUUAAUGUAGAAACCAAGUACAGAGAUAGAGGAAAACUGAAUUCCCAAAGUUUAAAGCACUACAAUAAAGGCUAUACCCCAAAGACAACAUAAGAUAGAUAUAAAGAUAGGUAAGGUUAAUCGAUAAAAGUUCCUUGAGAGCUUUGAGCCAAAAGCUAGGUAGCUUGUUGGUACAUGUGAGAUCAAAGAGUAUCGAUGAUUCUUCCAAGAGCAAGUCAAUGGAUGAACGAUUGGCCAUUGUCAAGAGACGAAGUGGCUUUGAUGAAGGGGUCAAAGACGUGAUUCUCGCCGGCACGAGAAAAGCUACACGAAGUAGUGCUUUGACAAGGGUUCGAGCAAAGGUGAAGGUGCUCUGAUGCUUGAAGUUGUUUGCUAGAGCUGCCGUAUAGUGGGAAUUGAGCUUAGGCAAAACAUAGCAAUUGGAAGUGGUGUGGAGGGUGUAUGGCUUGAAGUCGUCAGAAGAGUUUGAUGGAGAAUGGUCAUUGGACAAGCUUCCAAAGCCACUAUCAAAUCUCUCACAGGAAGGGUUCAAGAGCAUUAGACCAAAGACCUUUAAGCUUAUAAACACAUACCUCAAGACUUUAGAUGAAGCAUAAACCAGGGUUCGCAAGUGAUGGGUGUAAAACCGUAACAGAACAGGUGGAUCCUCUCUCGCAUGAAAGCCUCGACCAUGGAGAUUAAGAAUUCCACACAAAGUUUGUCUUCGGUUUAACACAAAUAGAAAAUAACCAGACCUGAGCUUCAAGGUUUUGAGCAUAUGAAAGUUAUCACUGAAAUUGAUAGAUUGCACAUGAAUGAACUCGAUGAACAGGGGGUACGGAAGUAGGAGGUUGAUGAAGCUGCGGUAAUCACCGCUCCUUGGAGACGGGAUCAUAAUGCCGUUCUUCCUCAAUCCUUUCAUCUGACCUCGAUAAAGGUAGCUAAAACCAUAAGUAAUCCGCUUAAGUGAUUUUAAUGGCCAGGUUCUCAGAGAAGGUUUGUACCAACAAUGAAGCGAUGUUUGAUUAGGUUCUAAUCGAUGUCCUCUAACAACUGGUUCCUUAGAUCGACACAAACGUUUGCAGAGAAAGCACAAAUGAGAGUUUAGGCAAAACCUGGGCUUAGUGGAAAGAUGAGUUAGACUGUCACUUCUACAAGUGGUCCAAGAGAGAAAACACCAUGGGCCGAAUUGGGAAAGGCCCAAUAACGAAAACCCUAGUGUCUUUUUGGCUGCGUUGAUGAUGCUGUGACUGUGGCUGCUGGACAUCGGCGAGAUGAUAAUCAGAAUGGAAUGACGCAUUGCCGGAGGUUGUGGCACCGGAGCAGUCAAGACCGGCGACUUGCGGUACCAUUUGGAAAAAGGUGCUGCAGGUUUGGAUUUUAAGGAUCUCACCAACAUCAAGGCGGAGUAAGAUUCGUCCAAAGCCACCAGCGGGUUAGAACGAUGAAGUGAUAAAGCUUUGGAAAAAAUUAUUAAAGGGUCUCCGACCACCGUUAACAAAAUCAAAGGAAGAGCGCAGUGAUGGUCGGGAAGAUGAUGAAAAGAAAAAAAAAGGAUUGAAAAGGUGAUGUAAAGCCAAGUGAGAGAGCGAAUUGAUUUGAGAUAUCCCGACGCCGGCGAGCAAAGACUCCACCGGCGUCGAAAAACAUGAUCAGAAAAUGGUUCUCGAUAAUGGUGCCCGAGAGAGUUUGGCUAACGUUUUAUGAGUUUUAAUAGCAUAUCAGGUGGACUAUUUUAUCAAUUAAAUUCAAAAUUUCCUUUAGUAAACCAACGAAUUUCGAACAUUACACUUUUACACCUCUUGGAUAAAGAGAUGGAAGACAUUUAUUACAGUUGAUGAUAUUAUCGCACCACCACUUUUUGUUUUGUAGGUGGGGCCGUUAAUCUCCAUUAAUUUCAUUGUAAACCACUGUGUUUAUGAAAAAAAUUAAAACUACACUAAUUAAAGCGUAAUAAUAUUGCAAAAUAAAAAUUGGACAUAAGUAGCAUCCUAGAAGAAAUGUAGCUAUAAAAUGAGAAUUUCGAAAGAUAUAUUUGGAAAAGUUAAUCUAAAACCAAAUUAAUGACUGACAGAGGGACAGUAAGUUUACAUUUAUUUAAUAAAACACCAAAUUUGAAAACCGAGAUAAUUAAAGGGUCUAUUUGUAUAAUCGAAGAAGUAGAAGGGUUAAUCGAAGAAAACUAAUAAACUUGCUAAUUUUGAAUAUCAACUUCCCCCCAAUUCAAAUCUGAGCUUCAAGGCCAACUACAACAGCUCUCGAAACUUCAAAAGCUCUGGGCUUCUGGUUCUGGGCAAGUUUCUUAUUGUUCCAGUAUGAGCAAACUAAGCGUUUGAAUUCGAAUCGCCUUCUUAUUCUCCCCGCUUGCUGAAAGAGAGCACAAGCUAGUACUCGAUCUACCAUGUCCCGAAACGUUCCGAGAAUCGAGAUGCCGGAAUCAGAAGAAAACGAGUUCGCGAGCUUGUCUUUGUUUUCGCCUUCAAGAGCUCCUCUGAAUUCGAUACCGGAUCCAAGUCAAAUUCAGAAGGCGAAUCAUCUACCCGAUUUCGAUUUGGUUCAGAAAUUGGAAGGUACAAGAGCGCAGCAUCAACGAACACUGGGUCCGGAGAAGAGACUCGAAGUUUUGGAAGGUAGAGCUGGAAAUUCGAGUGAUUCGAACCCUAAGAUUGUUAAUCGUAAUGGAAAAUCUCGGUCGGAGCCAAACUCUGCGCAGAGUACGCCCACUAGGAACGGUGCUAGGGUUUCUCUUGGAGGGGGUUGUGCUACCGGCGCAAGAGUUGUUCAGUCUUUCGGUGGAAGAGGAAGGAUUCCAAGGGGGAUUUCUAUGGCGGAGUCUGUUAGCUUUGCGGAAACAACUCCACAUUUUGAGCUCAAUGAAGAUCAUUCGUUUUGGAAAGAGCACAAUGUCCAGGUUGGUUGGUGCACUGUUUAGGAGAUUCUUGAUAAAUUCGUUUUUUUAGAAACUUUCUAAUUUAGGCCUCCUUCUAUAUGGUAUAGGUUUUGAUAAGGCUGCGGCCAUUAAGUACAAUGGAAAGGGCUAGUCAAGGACAUGGUAGGUGUUUAAAACAGGAGAGUCCACAAACAUUGGUCUGGUUAGGCCAUCCAGAGACCAGAUUCACCUUUGACCAUGUUGCCAGUGAGACAAUAUCUCAGGUAAGCUUCAUUUCAAAUUCAUGUAGAAGGUGAAAAUAAGCUAUUUUCAGAGGCUUUUUGUAUGUGAUGUGGUUACCUAUAAAUAUAAUGUUCCGGAUGCAUGUUCUGUUGAUUUUCAGGAAAAGUUAUUUCACGUUGCUGGACUCCCCAUGGUGGAGAAUUGCUUGUCUGGUUACAAUAGUUGUGUGUUUGCCUAUGGUCAGGUGAGAUCAUAAAUGAUUAUAUGUUUCAUGUUUCGCUUAUUAGAAUUUCCAUGGUGCAAAAUCAAGAAACUUACCUUCCUCUCAUAUAGACUGGUAGUGGCAAGACUUAUACUAUGAUGGGAGAGAUAUCUGAGGCAGAGGGAAGCCUCGGUGAAGACUGCGGAGUUACUGCUCGUAUUUUUGAGUAUCUAUUCUCAAGAAUUAAAUUGGUAGUUGCCUAACUUCCUCUCGAAGAAUCACUUCAAGCCAAUAUAUUUCAUUACUGAAAGAGGUCUUUGAUAACAGGAAGAAGAGGGAAGGCGAGAUGAAAAACUGAAAUUCAGUUGCAAAUGUUCUUUUCUUGAGAUAUAUAACGAACAGAUAACUGACCUCUUGGAACCAUCAUCAACCAAUUUGCAAGUAAUUAAAUUUUUUUCAUCCAUCACUUGGUUAUUAUUUAUCAGUCUGGUGCUUUUUUUUUUUGUUUUGAGAUUGGUCAUAACCUUAAAUUCCAUAUUUUAGCUCAGAGAAGACUUGGGAAAAGGAGUAUAUGUUGAAAAUCUUGUAGAGCACAAUGUGAGAACUGUUAAUGAUGUUCUAAAGCUUCUACUACAGGCAAGACUUCCAUACCCAAACAUUCUGUUAAGAGUUUAAGUGUUCAAGUUUUUAACUUGAUAUGUAUUCCUUUUGCUCAGGGAGCAACUAACCGGAAGAUUGCUGCAACCCGUAUGAACAGUGAAAGCAGCAGAUCCCACAGCGUUUUCACAUGUACAAUCGAGAGCCUCUGGGAGACAGAUUCUCUAACUCGUUCAAGAUUUGCCAGACUAAACUUGGUCGAUUUGGCUGGUUCUGAAAGGUAGCUUGUAUGUCUUAGUCUUACUGUGUUUACUUUUGCAUCUUUGACUGCUGAAAUCAUUUUUGAUACAUAUACAGGCAGAAAAGCUCAGGUGCGGAAGGGGAUCGCCUAAAAGAAGCAGCAAACAUUAACAAAUCCUUAUCCACUUUGGGGUAAUCCUAACAGAAACCUGUUUACGUGUCAGUUUGUCUGCCCUCUGCUUUUUAUUAUCAUGAACUGUUUUCUGUUGUAUAUUGCCAAGCGUCUCAAUUCUCAGGUCAAAAUAAUAUGCGUACUUUGAUGGAGAAAAUUUGUGAAGAAACUGAAAAUAUGCAAAGCAUGAAAGGAUGACGAUAGUUUAAUAGCUUUGAGGUCUUUAACAACUUAAAAAUGAUCAUGAAGUUUCAGAUUAAUAAUCUUAUGACAAGAUAAGAUGCUAAAAAUUUGUUAUACCUUUUACUAUGCUCUAGUUUUACAUUCUUGGAACAAAAUCUUUGUACCUACUAACUCUUAUCCAUUCAUCUGUCACUUCAGCUUAGUGAUAAUGUCUCUGGUGGAUUUGGCACAUGGGAAACAUAGACAUGUUCCCUAUAGAGAUUCUCGACUUACCUUUUUACUGCAGGUAUGACUGUUAGAGCACUUAAACCUUCAUUUAUUUUUCCGUUGCAGUUGCAUAGGGACUAACUUCAGAUAUGGUUUCAGGAUUCUCUAGGGGGUAACUCCAAAACAAUGAUAAUAGCUAAUGUCAGCCCAUCUCUUUGGUUUGUACCAAUAGCCAUUCUUGUUUAAUGGGCAUACCUUCUCUUGCGUAUUUCUGAUUGUUAUUGUCUUAUUCCAGCUCUACAAACGAAACCCUCAGCACCCUGAAGUUCGCGCAACGGGCAAAACUAAUCCAGAAUAAUGUAGUUGUAAUUCUUCGUUGAUUACGAGCUCUUCUAUGAAAGUUUGACCUGAUGUAAGUUUGCUUCACUUUGAUUUUCCAGGCUAAAGUCAAUGAAGAUGCCUCUGGGGAUGUUACAGCACUCCAACAGGAAAUAAGAAACUUAAAGGUAUUGACUAUUGACAAAUUGCAUCAAACAGCAAAUUUUCCUCGUUUUAUGCGUAGUCAUGUGAGGUGAUAUCAAAACCUUUUCAUUUAUCCAAACAGGUCCAACUGUCUUCUCUUUUGAAGAACCAUGACUCUUGUGGGGCUCUUUCAGACUGCGUAUCUUCUCAUGAAGAAUCCAGAUACUCUGGCACAUGUAAAGUAGCAGGCGAAACAAGACAAGACAAAUGUCACUGUCAGGUGCACAAUUCACUGAGAAUGAAGGUAUUUUGCAACAUAUUUGUGGAUAUCUUGCAACUAUAAUAUUGAAUUGGCUUAAUAACUGUAUAACAGGUGAAAAAUAUGAAAGAUAAUUUGAUUGGUGCUCUCAGAAGGGAAAAGAUUGCUGAAACUGCCCUUCAGAAGUCCGAGGCUGAGAUUGAGCGUAUAGACUGCUUGGUUAGUUUGUUACAAGGACAGUUCAAUUUCGUAUUUUGAAAGGAGAUAUCCUUGACAGAGACAUCUCAUGAUGCAAACGAAAUAGGUUACAUUUUAGUCAUCUUAUAUAUUGACCUUUUACUACAGGUUAGAGACAUGGAAGAAGAUGCCAAGCGCAUUAAAAUAAUGCUUAAUCUUAGGGAGGAGAAAGUUGGAGAGAUGGAAUUCUGUACGCCUGGUCCAUUGAUGACAAAAGAGUGUCUCAUUGAAGAAAAUAAAACUCUAAAAGGAGAGAUCAAGCUUCUUCGCGACAGCAUUGACAAGAAUCCAGAGUUGACACGUUCGGCCUUGGAGAACACCAAGCUCUGGGAGCAGCUACAACGGUAAAUCACCUAUUAAAUGUUUUGGAAGAGUAUUUUAUUGUUAACGACUUAUACUCUGAUCUUAAAUUUCUUUUCAGAUAUCAGAACUUUUAUGAGCAUGGGGAACGAGAGGCAUUGGUUGCUGAGGUGACAAGACUACGUGACCAGGUUUGCGAAUGCCUUUACCAAAUGGACUUUCAGCCUAUAAUCCAAGCUGAACUUUUUCACUUGUCAUGCAGCUUCUUGAUGUUCUUGAAGCAAAAGAUGAGUCCUUUCCUAAACACGUAAUGAAGAUUUGGGGAAAAUAUGCUAUUUAUUUAUUUUUAAUUUUCUUGGAAACUGUUGUUGCUGGUUUCUUAUGCGUGAACUUUGAUAACACUGUAGGAGAACGAAAUGGAAAAGGAAUUCGAAGACUGCAGAAACAUGAACUCUAGUUUGAUCAGGUAAUAUACAAAAUUAUAUGAACUUCAAUUAUCUUUUGUGAAGGUUUGCUAUCGCAUGAAAAUCAUUUACCCUGUUGCAUUUUUCUAUUUUGUUGUGGAAUGAAAUAACUUUUGAGUUCUCUGCUGCAUAAUUAUCUACAACUAUCAUCCUAUUCUCGGAGUGUUUCAACAUACGUCCAUAACCCUGUUGUACAACAAUUCUGCUAUGGCUUGUGUUUGUUAAUACUAUAACCUUGAACCUGAAACUCUUUCAUUAUUCUCAUUGAACCUAAUAUGCUUAAUUUGACUAAAUUGGAAAAGAAGCCAGCUUUGGUACUGUCUCUUAUGUUUUGGUGUUGCUUUUCAACGCAGAGAACUAGAUGAAAUACAAGCAGGACUUGGAAGACACUUGAAUUUCGAUCAAAUACAAUCCAACUUUGUAAGAAUUCAGAGUGACAGAGGAAUGAUUGUUAUAAAUUUUUCUUUGCUGGUUGUUUAUCUUUGUUGUACCUUUUGCAGGAUGCAUCUUCCACCAGUGGAGCUGAGCAGGUUAAUCAAGCACAUACACGUUUAAUGGUUUGUUGAUUCAAUAUUUGUAUCAUAAUAAUCUGGUCUUAAAAUUGCUUUAUAGGGAAACUGUGUAUAUAGGGAAACUCGUUUAACGCCCUUUCUUUCCAUUGAAACAGGCAGAAACAAUGCCAACUAUAAGUGAAACCCAAGAGGAGGUGGCUAUUUCAGAGAGUAAAAACUGCAGCAACAUUGGUAAUUCUGAUGGCAACAGGGUCAGGCUUAUAAAUGAACUGCAGGAUGUACUAGAGGAGAAUGAUGGAUCCAUGAAUAUGCUAACCAAAAGAAGCCGUAUGGAAAAAGAAGUCAUUCCUAGGAUAGAAGGUUAUGACACGGAAUUAAGUGGCAUGGUCAAUAAUAGAGAUGCACUAGUGAAGACUGAUGAGGGGAUAGACCGGUCAAUCCUGCAGUUCAAGUUAGGGAAACUAAUGAAGGACCUUGAGGAGGCCAGAACACUUAAUUGUCAAUAUGAAAAGGAGCAUAUGUCGCAGUUAUCUCAACAGGAAGACAUUGAAGUAGUCCGUGAGCAAGUUGAGACAGAAACUGCCAGAACCAUUCUUGAGUUGCAGGAGGAGGUGAUUGCUCUCCAGUCUGAUUUUCAAAGAAGAAUCUGUAACUUGACCGAGGAAAAUCAAUCGAUGAAAAAUACUAUUACUGCUAGAGAGGCAGAAAUAAGAGCACUUAACCAAGACUGGGAAAAGGGUACCUUAGAACUGACAAAUUUCAUCGUCGAUGGGUCUAAAUCCAUCAAAAAUGCCUCUACACAGAUUGAAAGUAUAAUCUGUUCAUUUCCACAAGUGAAUGCGUGGAUAGGUGAUUAUGUUGAGAAGGCUGCAAAAAAUUGUAUAAAAAAGGAAGAAACAAUUUUGCUUCUACAGAAAAGCUUGGAAGAUGCACGGAUAUUAGUAGCAGAGAUGAAUUUGAAGCUUAAUUCCUUAAAGGGCGCAACAAUUGCUCUCAACGAAUUUCAACUGGGUGGCAAUGCUGCAACCACUGAAGAGGCUUUCAACUUGAAUAAUGAUGUAGACAGGAUGAGCAAUGAGGUAGACACGCUUGAGAGUGACUUAAAAGCAAAGCGGUAUUCUAUUCUGAAAACAGAACGACAUGCUGAAGCUGCUUUUGCUGUGAAAAAAUGGCUUGCUGAUUCUAGAAAGCAACACCAAAUGCUGGAAAAAGUACAAGAUCAAUCAGUUAAAGAAUUUGGUACAUUAAGUUCAAUCUCUGCUUCUCCUAGUGCGGAAGGGAAUGCUGAUAUUAGUUUGUUAAGGGAUGGAUAUCUAAGUGACGCAAUAUAUCCAAAGGGUGAUGAGCUUUCAACAUCAAGCUCUGAGUUUUCAAACAGUAGAUGGCAACAUGAUUGUGUACUCAACGUAAAAUGUCAAGGAGUUUCAAGUUCUGAAUCUGACGCUCAAGAAAGUAAUAACAAGACUACAUCAGCAGCUUUGAUUGCUAAGAAUGGGUCUGCACAUUGUGUUUACUGUGGAGGUAUACUUUUGUUUGUUUUCUCUUAUUCACCAUUCUAAAUUUAAGAUCUGAAAUGAGUAAUAUUGAAAGACUAAACCACCAGUUUUAUUUUAUAUGUAAAGAAAGAAGCUUAAAAUUUUGUUUUAUGCAGAGGGGAGGCAGUCAGUAGAAAAGCCAUUGACUAUUAUGAUGGGGAGAGCAGAAACAGAAUACAAAUGCAGUGAUCCGGUAAGCUUUUAUUAGCAUCGUUUCAUUUUGUGAAGAUAUAUAAAGAAAUUGGUUACAUUGUCAAUGACAAAGUAAACCACUGAACUUAUAUCUCUGCAGCUUUCUUCUGAGGUAUAUAUGGGUCUUAUGCAGAGAAUGGAUCCUGUUAAAAGUUUCUUCGAUCGAUUUGAAGAAGUCAAUGCUACCAUGAAAGAAGCUGAUCUCACAAUAUGUGAAUUAGUAAAGGCCAAUGAGAAAUCAAAUAAUGUUACUGAAAUGUGGCUUCAAACCCAUGAAGAGCUAAUGGUUAAGGAAAAGUAUCUGAUGGAUGAUCUUGAACAGGUCAAGUCUACACUAUCUGCAUGUGAAGAAGAAAAUCAAAUCUUGCUAAAUCAAACACACUCCACUCUGGCUGACAUGGAAAAUUCAGUUUCUUUGCUUGAAGAAUAUAUACAGGAAAUGAAAAGAGGAGUAGAAGAAACAUUAGAGGCAUUGUUUUCCCAUGUCCUCUUAGCUGGAAAAGAGCUUCUCCAAUUGAUUUCCAACUCAAGACCAUCACUUGAACAGAUUGUAUCUGAAACCAUGGAGAGAGAGUUCACCAUGUAUGCAACAUACCAAUGCCACAUUGGGAAACUGAUCGAUCAAAUUUUGGAUCAGAGAAAACAGGUUAUCACUCCCCACCUUUCAGGCCAACAGUCAGUGAAAAUUAAUGCCAUUGGGUAUAAUGCCGAAGAUGAAGUCACUGGAAAGCAAAACACAGCAGAGAUCGUCACAGGUUUAGAAAAUGAUGAAGUUGUUCAGUCACAUGAAAGCCUAUUAUAUGAGAACUUGUAUCUGAAAAAGGAGAUUGAGAGAAAAGAUGCUUUGUUUGAAGGCUUGCUUUUUGAUUUUAGGCUACUUCAGGAAUCAGCAUCAAAUAAAAGAGAUAUCAAGAAUGAAAUGGAUGAGCUGUUUGACGCACUAUGCAAAGUACAGCUAGAGCUGGAGCUGAAAGCAAGUCAAGUUCAUGAUCUUUUUGUUCAUAAUGAGAAUCUUGAAAAUUGCUCCAUUGACUUAAAAACGGCUUUGUUCACGUCACAGUCAGAUCUAGAGCAGGCUAAAGAGAGGAUACAAAUUCUUGUGGAGCAGAAUGAUGAGUUAAGGGUCCUUGUUAGUGAUCUAUGUACGGAAAAGCUUGCAGCUGAGGAGGGAUUGGACGAACAAAAAGAUCUUGUCAAAAGGUUGGAAAAAGAAAUCCUUCACUUGACUACUACAUCAGAGAAGCAAUUGCUUUCUGCGGUCAAGUCCAUUGAAGAAAAUUUGAAAAAGACCAGCGAUGAGAAAGAUCAGCUUGUUGACGAAAUAUGUUCGUUGAAUAAUAAGCUUGAGUUGGCCUAUGCUAUAGCUGAUGAAAAAGAAGCAAUUGCCGUAGAGGCUCGUCAGGUAUGUAAUUGGAGCCUUUUGUUGGAUGAUCAUUUGAUCCUUGGCAAUAUUGAAGGGGUUGACAAGAAUCUAAACUUGUUCUCAUGUAGGAAUCUGAAGCAAGUAAAAUAUAUGCUGAACAAAAGGAAGAGGAGGUCAAGAUUCUAGAAAUUUCUGUUGAGGAACUUGAGCGUACGAUAAAUAUAUUAGAAAGACGGGUUAGUUUGCUCUGUUUUUCAUUCUCUGUAUCUGAUAGGUAUUGCAUGAAACUCUUAUACUUACUAAUAUGUGAGCUAUUUUGGCUUCCAGGUGUAUGAUAUGGAUGAGGAAGUUAAAAGGCAUCGUACCACCCAAGAUUCGUUAGAGACAGAGCUGCAAGCUCUCAGACAGAGAUUGUUUAGAUUUGAAAACUUCACUGGCACUGUGGUCACAACCAAUGAAAGCACAGAGGAAUAUAAGAGUCACAUAUCCAGGUGCCAACCUAAUCCUACUCAAAAUAUUAGUUUCUCUUGCAUAUCUUUCCUGGUGAAGACUGAAUUUGGUAAAAAUAAAUGUAAAAUAGGUCGACAGGGCUGCAAGGUGCGCAUAGUCAAAUACAAGUCCUCCAGAAGGAAGUAGCAGAACAAACCAAAGAGGUGUUUUAUAUUAUUAGAAUGCUCGACUCAAUAUCUCCAUGAAAUUUCCUGAUAUUUGCGCGAAUGAUUAUUGUUUUUUUCUUACCUCUACCUUUGUCUUUCUCCACUUACAGAUUAAACAGCUAAAAGAGUACAUCUCCGAAAUCUUACUGCAUUCUGAGGCCCAAGCAUCUGCUUACCAAGAGAAGGUAAAAGAUUUGUAGACUUUAGCAGUUCUCAGCUCUUAUUUUGAUUGUUGAAUGAUUUAGUUCCAACGUUUCCGUGCUACACAUUUUGCUCAUAUUUGUGUAUCUGUUGACGUUCUUGCUAAAAAAAACACUACGUCAUAAAAAAAUCAAGUCAAGAAUUGCAAUUAUUUUCCAUUUCUAUUGUGAUGAUUUGAUAACAAUGGUGUAUAUUUCGAUAAGCACCUGCAAGUGUUAUUUUCCUUGAGUUGUAGUUCAUAUAGUUUGUUUCCAAUCUCAACAGUAUAAAACUCUGGAGGUCAUGAUACGAGACUUCAAACUAGAAGACUCAAGUUCGUCAGCUGCAGAGACCAUAUCACAUAAAACUGAGAGAAGCUCAAUAAGAAGUAGAGGUUCAAGUUCACCCUUUCGAUGUAUAGUUGGGUUGGUACAACAGAUGAAACUGGAGAAGGAUCAGGAAUUGACCAUGGCAAGGGUUCGUGUUGAAGAAUUGGAGUCACUGCUAGCUGUUAAACAGAAAGAGGUUCAGCCUACCUUCAUUAAAUGAAUGUGCUCACAGAUCUUUAAAUGAAUGUGUUGUCAGCAGAUUAUUUUCAAUUCACCGAUUUAGAGACUCAGUGAAUAUUUUUGUGCUGGAACAGGUUUGCACAUUGAGCACGAGGAUAGCUGCAGCUGAUAGCAUGACUCAUGAUGUAAUUCGGGAUUUACUUGGUGUGAAAAUGGAUAUAACCAGCUAUGCUGUAAGUAUAUCAGAAUAUAUGCCAUCUUUAAAAGACUUCAUAGGCACUUUUUCUGAUUGUAUUGGUCUCUUCGUUGGGCUAUUUCAGGAGUUGAUUGACCAGCACCAGGUCCAAAGAUUGGUUGAAGAGACUCAGCAACACGCUGAAGAGAUCCUGUCCAAGGUGAUGCUAUAUACUUAGCCGCAUCUGCUUACUUUACUUGGUCUUCAGUUUGUUAUUGAUACCAACUUUCUCUUUCAAUAUUAGGAGCACGAAAUCAUCAACCUGAAGAGACAUAUUGAUUGUCUUGUUAAGGAAAGAGAGAGGUUAGUCCUAUUCCACUUAUACUAGAACUGUUCUAUCACGAGCCAAAGUGCUUAUUUUUCUCUUGGGAUUUUCCGGCCUUUUGGUGGACAGUUGCAUGUCAGAGUUGAACAAGAAAGAUACAGAUGUUCUUGCGACACAGAUAUCUUUGGACCAACUACAAGAGCGAGUUCAGUUGCUUUCUAUGCAAAACGAAAUGCUUAAGGUAAUCAGGAGUUUCUUCUACCUAUAUUCUCACCACCAGUUCUAUUUAUCAUAUGUGUUUUCCUUAACUCACUGAUUCUUUCUAUCUUCCGUUUUGCAGAAUGACAAGAGCAAUUUGCUGAGGAAGUUAGCUGAACUUGAUCGAACAGUCCACGAUGCACGGGCCAGUAACCAUCGUGCUUCACAGACAACAAAGGUAUUGUAUAGUAUAACGGGCUGCCUUUGCAUAAUGGAGAAGAACUCAAUGGUUGAUUCUAAGAUCCUGAAUUUUGUUUUAUCGAACAGGAUACAGUGUCAUUUAAACUUGCUGAUACUGAUUAUACCAAGAGACUGGAAAACGCUCAGAAGCUUCUUUCCCAUGCUAAUAACGAAUUGGCAAAGUAUCGCAAAACGAGCAAUAACCAUCCAUCUACAAGAACUCAAGGACAGAGCUCUGGUACAAGAUAUCGGUAAGAGUUUUUUUUUAAAGCUUCUCUUCUCCUGGGCUUGUUCUUGAGAGUAUAUAUCGCACGAGUCAAACCUAUGAAGCUAGUCAAGCAAUCUGAACAAGGCAGAGUGUUUUAUAUGGCUUGAUCGUCCAUAAACAAGUCCCACUUUCCAGUAGCUUGAUGGAAUAACGUUCUUGGCAUGUUUUUGGUUAACUUUUUGUGUGUGUUAAAUUGGAAUUGUUGUGUAUAAGAAUGCAUAUAACAUGUUGCUGCAAUUGGCCUGUUGUUGUAUUUGUAUGUUUAUAUUCUCCGAACAUUUCUUAUUGCUAAUAAAAUAAUGGUUUUGUUCCUCAUCUAAUAACGGAGUAAACAUGAAUCCAAGAUAUGAUCGGAACAAAUGGCAUAAAAAGAUUACAUAUAAAACUCCACCCUUCUAUAUGAAAGUUACAUUCUUUGUUUUAUAUGCUCUAACCGGAUGGAUCAAUAAAUUAAAGAAAUGUUAAAUAACAACCAAGUAGAGAACAUAAAAUAGUCAAAAAUCAUAAUACUAAUAUAUAGCCAUUGCGAAUUGGAAACACAAGGUACUCAUUGGGUAAUGACUUUUGUUUGGCAUUGCAAUCCUUAAUGCGGUCACAACGAGCCCGAUUAUUAACAUCAUUUACGAUUUCAUUUGAAAAUAACUAAUUAUUUAUUUGGUUAUAAAAACACAUACGUGAAAACGAAUUGAAUUAGACUUAAUUUUUUCUUAUGUUUUGCUCAAAAUUUUACUUUACUUUUAUCAAUUUAUAUUUUUAAAAGCUUAAUCACAUAUCUUACGUAAACACAAUCAUGUUGAUGAAAUUGGUUGAAAAUUAAUUAUCGUUCAAGAAUUUUCAUUAUGAACCCGAUCAUUAACAUUAUCUUGAGGUCCAAGGUAUUGAAAGAAAUUUUUUUAAACAAUAAAUAAAAAAUAACAAAAAAACCACACACACAUAUAUAUAUAUAUAUAUAUAUAUAUAUAUAUCAAUAAUGAUGGGUAGACAACAUUUUUCACCUUUUUACGAGCCUAAUUGUUUUGUUUUUCUGUCCAUCGCUGCUUCGGUCGCCCACAUCAAAUCCGUCCAAUCCAUAGAUACUCCAUAUGAAGCCUUGUAGAAGUAAUAGGAUUGAUAAUGAAGGAUGCAUUAAAGCACAACUCUUUGUUCUAAUCCCUCCAACCUGAUAACUCAAUAAAUUAAACAAAUUAAUGUCAACUAAAAAAAUAUAUAUUUCUCAAAAGUAAUAACAAUUAUUUCUCACCGCCGGUGCAAUUGGAUAAACCGCCUUCGCCAUUGCAAACGGAAAUAUAAUGACACUCAUUAUUGGGUAACGAUCAGUGUGCAUUGCAAUCUUUAAUCCGACCACGUGGAUGAUUGCACCUAUGCAACUCGUUACAAGCCUUUGUUUUUUCCCUCCAUCCCCGCUUCAAUCGACCACAUCACGGUGCAUGUCAAUGUUACGACGUAUGGUGCAUAGUUUUCUUCUUUUCCUAGUCCUAUUAUGUAGCUCCUUCAUGGUCCUCCUACACGUACGUAUAUAAUUUGAUUAUAUAUAUAUACAAAGGGAAAUGAAAUAAAACUCACACGUACAUAGAAAGAUUUAUUGCUAAACUAUUCUUGACUACAACUAUUAUAAUUAUUAAAAAAUUAAGCAAAAACAAAGAAAAUAUAUUGACAAAAUAUAAGCAAAAUAUAAGUUAAUUAUAUAUAUAUAUAUAUAUAUAUUAGAUAAAAACAACAUAUUAAAUCUAUUUAUUUUAUAUAAAUAAUUGGAUGUUCAUAACUUAACUAAUUUGUAAAAAAAAAAAGAUUUCCAAAACUUUCAUAAAUGAAAAAAGUUUUAUAGCAAACUCUUUUAUAAAUGAAAAAGCUUAAUCAUAUAUCAUUUUACAAAGGGUUUUGAGUUCAGCACACCAGUGUUAGAAACAAACUAGGGCCUUCUGUUC
rnacentral:lncRNA from 1 species